rnacentral:lncRNA from 1 species
UUUUUUUUUUUUUUUUUUGUGGUCAGCUCAAAAUUUUAUUAAGCCUUUGAAAAGAAAGGGUACACAAGUGGGAGGGGUAUAUCCCUCAACCAUUUUGCAUGUAAAGAAAGUUUCAGGCUGCCCUGUAAUCAAUAGAAACCUAUCUAUAUUUAAAGGUUGAAAAUGAAAUUUCUAAGGGAUAAUUUCAAAAAUCUCCCUAAAGUUUCUGACAGUUUUACUUAGCACCCUCAAAUUUUAAAAAUUCUCACUUGACUCCCUUACUUUAAACUUUUGGUAACAUUUGAAACUCAUUUCAAAAUAUAAUAUUAAAACUCAUUUUGGAGAGAGAAUACAAUUUCAUUUCAAAUUUGCCCUUUUCUUGUGAUUUCUUAAUUAUUAUAACACACUGAAAUUAUCUCUCAAUUUUUAAUAAUUGAUUGAUGUAGUUGUUUAAUGAAAAUUUAAAAGUUGAUAACAAGAUAAAAAAACUCUUUCAUAGUUUUUCGAUCGUUGGUUCAAAUAAGAAAUGUUAAAUUACUUAGAAUUAUGAAUGAUUUACAAUACUUUUAAAAAUAACUUAUAAUAAUUUAUAACCAUAGGAAUACAUUUUGUACCAGCUUAAAAGCAAUACAAACAAGUUUAUAUAUAGUUUUUAACAGAUUGUGUUUUUUUACUUUUCAAGCCAUCAAUUUGAAAAAAUUGAAAAACAUGCAAAAGAUUUAUGAAACUUCUUAAAUUAACUCAAACACUUUAUAGUAGAUAAAAUAUUAUAUAUAUAUAUAUAUUUAUAUAUAACUUGCAAAAACAUCAAAUAAACUUUCAAAUAUUAACUUUUGAUAUUUAAAAAGCACACCAUAUUUUAUCCAAUUAGAAUAAACUUUCAUGGCUAUUGUUUUUGCUUUUCGUUUGUUGUUAAUAUACCCACUGUUUUGGUAAUGAAAAGUAAGACAACGUAUUGGUAAAUUUGAAAUGAGAUUUUAUUUACUCUCUCAAAAUGAACUUUUUAAUAUUAUAUUUUUAAAUAGGUUGUAAAUGAUACAAGAAACCUAAAGUAAAAGAGGCAAGUAAGUUUUUUUAAAGUUUGAAGGUGCCGAGUGAAAUUGUUAAAAACCUUAGGGAAGAUUUCUAAAAUUAUGCAAAUUCCUAAAGAAAGACCACCCCUUAACUUUAUUACAAAUUGCCUAUAUAUAUAUAAACAUGUCCUUUUCCAUUUUUAUUUUUCUUUUUGCUUUGGUAGAACAAGUUUCUCUUUCUUUUAAAUAUACAAACUAGAGGUCCAUUCUAAACCGGAAUACUAAUAGCGAAUUGUCUACAAACCCAUUCUAAAGGAGCGGCAUUAAAAGGGGCUGUCCUCAAAAUGGCCCAAAAAUUAAAAUUUUGUGUAGACUAUAGGUGGAGCCUACCCGAACUGUGGCUAAGCGUGAUAAAGCCCAUAUAGUGCUGCAUUGAUCUUUUUUUUUUUCUUUUUUCUUUUUUUUUUUGUGAAAAAACCAUCCACAUAUUUCAUCCAUUGCUGUAACUAGCUGACUUUUAUCUAUUUUAACAAUCGUAACAAUUAUAACCUUAGCAAACAGGAGAUAUGGCUACUACUCUAGUGCAAGAUGAGGAAUAUCUAAAUCUUUGGUGUCGAAUGAUACAAUUAUAAAGCUUCGCAUGGGCCGUUGCUCAAGUUGUAUAGCUUGUUUUGAUUUUAAUACAGGUUGUAAUGUUUUCGUAAAAAAAAAAAAAAAAAAGAUAUGGCUAGAAUGGUAUCCAACACUUGCCUAGCUCUUAUGUUGAUUGUCUUUGUCUACAAAUAAUGAGAUGCAUUUCUCAUUAGAAAUAGCCGAGAUGCAAUUCUUUACAAAGUUGAGGAGUAAUAGUUGUUUAAGGAUGCCUUUCAUAAAAUUGAUGUUUGAAAAGUGAAAUUUAAAUUCAUUAAAUUACUCAAUUGUUACGCACUAAAUCUGACAUAUCUGAAUUUAUAUCACAUUAAAUGAUAAGUGAAUAGUUUAUCACUUAUUUUUUGAAACAAAUUUUGUCUAGAAAAUUCAGUGUUAUUUAAUUAAUUCAGAUAUUUUAUUUUUGUUAUCAACACGUAUGAACAUGUUAAAAUAUGAAUUCAUUAAUUUCAAAUGUUGAAUUUGACUAUUAUCAAACGAGGUCUAAGUUAUUUAAACUGCCCAACGCAGAAAACACGCAUGAUUAUUCAACCGAAAAAAAAUGAAAGAAAGAAAAAGUUAAUGCAGCAUGGACUUUUUGGUUUGAAGGGGGAACAAACAAAUAAAAGAAUAGAACUUUGUUUUGUUUUGUUUUGUUUUUUUUGUUUUAAGUGUGAAAAUUUGAAUCCAAAUCUCCUAUUUAUGAUCCCUCCUACCUUAUCACCUACACAAAUAAUACAACUUAUAUUUUGUGAUUGGCAGAAUAUACAAUUAUCUUGGAUUCAUCUUUGUGAUGUCCAAAACACAAAUUGACCUGACCAACUUCCCUUCUUGACCCCCAAAGGAAAAGUACAUGAAAGUUUCAAGAACAAAAAAAAUCCUUCAGCCAAACUUGACGUGGAUUUAUCACAUCAUGAACAUCACCUGACAUGUUUUUCCUGCGAACAUGCGCGUCCGAUUCCGCCAAUUACUCAAAAAAAUUCUCUUGUUAAUCACGGGUUCAGUGACAUGCUGCAUCCAAGAGAAUGCACCUGACUGGUGCGGCCUCAGCAACUACCUUUAAAGGAAGGCAAAGAACAUUGUAGUUCCCCGGAGCAAUACCAUCAAGCUUCAAAUUUUCAACAGGGAUAAUCUUAUGGCUGGUCAACAACGUUAUAUGAACCGGAACAAUUUCAUCAAUAACUGCAACAGACAUGUAAUCAAUCCCAACAAAUGUAAUAUUAGUAUUUUUCACCAACCAAUCUGCCCCUGUUGCUGUAAAUCCAGUAUAAUUAGGUACAAAGAAGCCUGUAUCCAUAAGGCGAUUAUCAGUGUUUGCUGUCUUAAAAAUCACUCUAUUUGUCCCUGGAGGAAUUUGCAGAGACUGCAUAACUUCACUAGUUAUGUUCUUGUCUUUAGGCGUCUCGACAACCAAGACCGAACCCAUGAGGGUUUUGAGGUCGAGGGCAUCAACUGUGAAUCCAGGCUGUCCUAACAAACCCGGGAAAAUGUGUGAAGGGGCAUCAACAUGGGUGCCAAGAUGAGUGCCCACGGUGAUGGUACCAGUGAUGGUAGCUUUCCCUUGAAAUUCUUUUAUCACAUCUUUAGCACCUAACAAGCUUCCAAAAGUAGGCAUAUUAUUCUUUAUGGGAUGAGUGAUGUCAUAUAUUUUACAGCCAUCGGAUUGUCCAUCAGAGGUGUUGGCAAAGGAGGCAAUGCAGGCCAGGGACAAAAGAACCAAGCAGGAGAUUGAUUUCUUCAUGAUUGUGUACGAAACCUUGGUGAAGGAGUUGGGAGUUUAUUCUCCCAAGAAUUUGGCAAUGUAGACUACAAUUUGGAGAGAAACUUGGAGGCAAGCAAGAAGAGAUUGGAGGAUGAUAGGGAAGGAACAUUCUGGGGCCUUUUUAUAUCAAUAAUGGACUCAAAAAAUGGCCUAGACUUUUGGUUUGUUUGUUUGUAGAGGAAAUGCUGCUUUCAAGCACAACCAAUCGUGCCAUCUAGCCUGUUUGUUAGGAGCAAAUUGAAUAUGCCACGCCAGCGGAUUUAUUUAUUUAGCACUUCAUUCUUCAUUCUUUAUAUCAGAUAUCGAUUGAAUUCAAUUCUUUUGUUCCCCCUUGAAAUAGUAAAAUUAUAUGUUGGAAACAAUUUAGAUAAAGAAAAUUCAUUUCUAGUGGUUGUGGAUGUUAAUCUAUUUUAACCACUAGUAUAUAUAGUAUACUAAAAGGGUAUUACUAUCUUGUUUAUACAGGUCUAUUUUAAUCUGCCUAAAUGGGAAAAAUACGUUGUUGGAUGCCACAAAAUAUGUGAAGAUUGACAAGUCAUAUACAUGGUUUUAUAUUGAUCUAUUACUCCGAAUUCUAUUUUUACCCUUCUGGUAGCAAUGUUCCAUCUCUCUGAAGUACAUUCAUAAACCCCCUUAGAGAUUGAGACACCUGAAGAUCAUGAACAAAAAUGAUGAUGACAAUUAAGAGCUAGCUAGCUAUCUUUUGAUAUGUUUUUGAAGAUCUAUUUCUGCAUUUGUUAUUUAUUAGACUUUACCCUUUUUUUUUUGGGCCAGAUGAAAUUUUGAUUAAAGAUACGAAAGAAUGAUUGGUCAAGGUAGUAGUGUUUUCGAUAGCUUAUUAAUUAGGGAUAAUUUCAGAAAUCUCCACUGAGGUUUGUGAUAGUUUUUUUUAGCUAUUCUCUUAUAUUGAAUAUUGCAUUUACCUCCCUUGUUGAUGCUAAAUGAACACACUCGCCCCUACCUAAAACUCAAUUCACAUACCAAAUAAGAGGACCUAACAAAAUUAAAGAGAAAGGAAAUGGAAACAGGUCACCUUGUUUUUCUUUUUUUUUUUUUGGUGGUACAUUAUUAUAGUGAUCUUUGGUGUACUUUAAUAUAAGCCGGCCACUUUACAUCCUUUUGUAAUUUUUUUUUGUUUGAUCAGCAGAAAGGUUAAUUGCCAGUCAAAAAAUAAAUAAAUCCGUGUUAAUACUUUAUUUAUUUGUUACUCAUUUUUUUGGGUUGCUUGUUUGUGAUUAUUUUUGUGGUAGCAAACAUGACAGUAGUGGUGUAGAGUGGUGUUGGUGGUCGUAUUGAUUCUAACACUUGAACGAAAGACAUUGUGGUUGUUCCCUUUCUUUCUUUCCCUUUUCCGCAGAAAAAAGUGUCUAGGGAUUUCCAUUUGAAAGUUGUGCUAUUUAUGAGGUUUUGAUACCUAAACAAUAAAAAUUGGGGAAGGAAGUGUAACGUUCAAAAUAAGAGGACUGUGAGGUGAAAUUGUCAUAAAUACCAGGGAAAGUAAUUGCAAUGCUUUUCUGUUUAUGAUUAUUUUCGCCAUUUACAUAUUAAAUCUCCAAAUUAAAUUCCUUCUUGAUUUCUGCAUUAUGGAUUAAUCAGAAUUCUGAAACUUUUCUAAUCUUGAAGGUGGAGAUAACGAACGAGUUUGAUAUGUUUUCUCUCAUUUUACGUUAGUAAACAUCACUCUUUGUUGCAGAUCCAUGUUUAAUAACACCAACCUCAUGAUUGUAAUUAGGGAUGGCAAUGGGGGCGGGUGCCCGCGGGGGGCUCUCGGGGCGGGGGUUGGGGCGGGGGGUGGGGCGGGGGUGGGGGGGAAUUUUUUCCCCCCGCUUAGAAACGGGGCGGGGGGCGGGGGAGUAUACCCCCGCCCCGCCCCCCGCAAAACAAAAAAAAAUAUAAAAAAAUAUAUAAUUAUAUAUAACAUGUAAGUUAAUUAGUUAUAAACUUAUGAUAAUGAUAUUAUUAGUUAGAUAUAUUAUAUAAUGUAUAUUAGUUUAUGUAAUAUAAUUGAUAUUAUCAAUUAUAUGAAUAAUUCUACAUGUUUACUAAUAGAAUUUAUUAAUUAGUUAUACUAAAUUUACUAAUAUAUUUAUACUAAAUUUCUAAUUACACUUAAUAGAAUAACACUUUUUUCUCAAAAAAAAGCACAAACACAAUAAUGAAUUAGUGAUUGCAUUUGUACUAAAAGUGAAAACUUGACUAUUUUAGUUAUAUUUAUUUCAUCAUAUUGGAUUGUAUUCAAAUAACUUCUGUUUGAUUGUUUUUAUGAGUUUCAAUUGCAAAAUUACAAUGAAUAAUAAUUUGGUGAUGCGUUGAUAUUUUAGUACUUGAUUAUUUAUUAAAAUUUAAUUAUAAUAAAAUUGUAUUAACCCCGCGGGGGCACCCGCGGGGGAAACGGGGCGGGGGCGGGGCGGGGCGGGGGAGCAGGAGGCGGGGGACGGGGCGGGGGACGGGGGGAACUAAUAGGCAACGGGGCGGGGGAUGGGGGAGGGGACCCCGCCCCAACCCCGCCCCGUUGCCAUCCCUAAUUGUAAUUGCUUUCAUAUUUGGAUUAUGCUCAAUCUCGUCAUAUAAAAGGCGUAUGUAGUGGAUUCCAUCCUUAAUUAUCCAAAAAGAAUAUAAAACUCUUUGAAGUUCUAUAAAACUUCUUGAUACAUAAUCUGAACGAGUGAAGUUGACUUCAAACCUGUUUAAGAAAAUUGAUUUGGUUUCAAGAAGGAUUUGGAAAGAAGGGAAGUGAUAUUUUUACUCCUCAAUUAAUUUCUAACACUCUUUGAAAUCUAUCUUUCUAGUGAGUAAAUUGGAGUGUAAUAAGCUAAAUAAGGAGUGCGAGUAUCAGUUCUCAAAAAGAAAUAAUUGUCAAACUUUAAGACUGAUUCAAUUUGGCCAUCAAAAGACCUUAUAUUGCUUAUAUGCUUUGAAUUUUUUCCUUCUUAGAAAUGAAAACGCAGAAGCAGAAGAUGUUAUAUCUUUUAAAACACAACUCUUAUUUCUUACUUAAAGAAGAAAAUAAUUGAUGGCAGCAGCACAUGAGGUGUGAAACUUCAUCCAUGCUCACUCAUAGCCUAACAUAACAGGAGGAUACAUCGUUUGUCUUUUUGAUAUGAAAGAUUAUUUUAACAGGAGUAAUAUAUAUAUAUAUAUAUAUAUAUAUAUAUAUAUAUAUAUAUAUAUAUAUAUAUAUAUUAUAAAGUAGACUUUUUUUUUCCAAUCUUGUACACAUAUGUCUUUUAUUUGUUCAUUGAGCUUUUAUUUAUUUAUUUAUUUAUCCGAAAAGUUAGAUUUGCUUUUAUUCCUGGUGAACUUCAAUAUUUUCUAAUUUUUUCAAGUAUUUAUAAAUUCGAAGAUAUAUUUUCAUCCAUUGCAUCUGGAUUCUCCACACAAUUCCAAAAUCUGCUACCCCUAAAAGAGAAAAAAAAUCUGCUCAUUAAUAGUCAAUAUCACCUUUUUCCCUUUGUUACAAUCACUUGAUCAUCGUUAUGACAUUUCAUUAAUUCUCAGAACCGAUCAAAAACCAAAAAUUCUCAUUGACUCAUAUUAAUUACAUGAGGUAAUUGCAACCAACUGAUCAAUUUCUUUUGUCUACAUGUGAAACAAAAUCUUCAUCCCAAUCCUCAAUAAAAAAAAAAUGUUCAUCACUUCAUUACAUACAUAGCAAAUUCACAUUUUGACACGUUAAAGUAAAUAGAGGAAUAUAUUAUUACAUUUUCACAAAUAUAGAUGGAAGAACACAAUGACACUAAUGUCAUAUGGGAAUAGAAACAGCCUAAAAACAACUUUAAAUGGACAAUAAUCCUAAUAAAUUACAAAUAACCUACUUUUCUGCAAUGCAAGAUACAGAUGAUCUACUCAAAAUCAGUAACCAAAAGCAAAUAUGACCAAGAAGAAGCUUAUUCCCAACAAAGAACCAAUUAAGCCACCAAAAGUAAUUGAUGCAGCAGAUGGAGACGGUGCAGGAGCAAAGGGCUGAACGAUCACUGGCGCAGGAGGACUCGCGGCUGCAGGAGGAGGAGUGUUAGGCUUAAUUGGUGAAGGAGUUGGGGCGAAAAUCGGAGCAGGAGACGGAGAAGGAGAAGGAGAGGGAGGAUUGGCCGCAACUGGUGAUGGAGCAUCGGUAGGAUUGCCUCUUGGAUGCAACACAACAAUGAUAAGCCUCUGACCCUUCUGGCAAUUAUCUGCAUGACCACUGAUGAAAAAGAAUGGACCUGCCCUGUUAAACUUGAACACUGAUUCCCCAUCUUUGAGAGCUAAAAAGGGGUUUUCCUUGUUGCAGUUGUAGUAAUCAUCUUUAUCUACUUCCAGAACAUCAUCAUAGCCUUUCUUGUAUCUAAAAACUGCAAGAAAAAAGAAAACAUCAUUAAAGGGCUAAAAUUUUUGAUGAAAAACCAAGAUUUUGAAUGCAGAAAUAUGUAGACGUCCAAUGAUUAAUCAUUAACAAGAAAAAAGGGUUUUAGUACUGAGGGUGUCAUUGAUCUGAAAUCGGUUUCUUCCAGCCCAUUGAUUGUAAUCUUCUUUGGGUUUUAAGACCCAACCAUCUCUGCCACCAACAUAGAAGGUGUAAGAUUGAGAUGCCGAGAGAAAAAAUCCUAGAAAAGUCACCAAGAAAAUGGUGAAGGCUAUUCGUUGAUCAAACUCCAUAAUUUUUAGAGGGAUAGAUAUAUUGAAUAUAUUGGAAAUUUGAGGAAUAUCUAAGUUUCUUUUAGUAGUGAUUGAUGGAAUAUGAUCAAGUUGGCAAAGGAAACGAGUAUUUUGCACUAGCAAAAACAAGAGAGAGAUGGCUAAAGACUGAAGACUGGAGAGAAAAAGUGAGAAAUUUUAGGAUGAAUUUAGGCAGUGAGAAAUGAGAAAAGUGGGGUAUUUAUUAUCGGCGUGAAUGAGAUUACCGUUGUAUUAUCAAUUAUGAGAUGAAAAUAAAAUAUGUGUGAGUCUUCGAUGCAAAAUUUGGCGUUACUAUGAGUAAGCAAUUUUUGGCAAGUGAUUACAUUUGGCAUAAUCAGAGAGAUUUAACGGUCAUAGGUAAUUCAAAGCAAAGCUCCAUUUUGAACCAAUUUUUGAAUGCUUUCCCAAGAAAGAUAGAGAAAUAAAUCGGAACCAAAGCUGGACUUUUUAAUUGUACUUUACCUUUUCAGAAUCCAAGUGGUGUGAUGGCCCAAUUUACAUAUUUCUCGGAUUAAUUUCAAUUUUGUGGCCCGUAUUACUGUCUUAGAAGCACACACAAAAAUGACAAAAUGAUUCAAAUUAAAGUCCACAGUAUACUUUCUUGAUCAUUGCUGGAACCUUAAAUAGUUUAUCUUAGCCAUCAUGAAAUGUGUCUGAAGAAUAUGAGCAAUUAAUAGGAAUAGCACUUAGGUGGCAAGAAAAAAGGAAUUGGAAUUUCAAGUAUCAUAGUAUGAUGUUAUGGUCUAAAUUAGAGUGACCCUUCACAGGUUUUUUUUUGGGUUGGGUUUGCAACACAUCUAUGAUAGAACAUGUAAUCAAUUAUCGGAUUAGGCCAUUAAGUUUUUUGUAAUAAUUACAAUGAUUAACAUUCGAAAAAGAUAUUAUUAUUUUUUAUUUACUUUCCAUUACUCCUGUCCAAUAGGAAGAUAGUCCCAAACUAUAUAUAUAUAUAUAUAGGCUGGAAGUUAGGGUUUAUAGUAGAAAAGAUAAUAAAAGGAGAAGGCAAAAAUAUACAUGAGUUGGACUUUUUACAUGGACAAAAGCACAAAUAGAUUUAGACUAUGCCUUCCAAUUAACCCUCGCUAAUAAACUAAGCUAGUAAACUGACUUUAGAGAGGCAAUUUGAUAUCGACAAAGUGGACAAAUGUUACUUACUCCAAGCCAAUUCACUAUGCAACUCCCAUGAUAAAUAUGCAAACAUGGCGUUCUUGUAGCUUCACAACCCUCUUCAAGUUUCUCCGUACAUGUCAUAUCAUACCGUGGCUAGCUCCAGCUUCACAAGCUUCAACCUUGACUUUCUCUAAAGCUUCAGCUGCUUCUUUGCUCGCAGGGUUUAUUCUCAAGUCAGCUUCCAUUGAUUCUCUCAUUGCCAAAAGGUGUCCUUCUUGCGUAUUAGCCACAAUCACACCAAUCGAGACAAUCAUCGGCAACACUUUUCUUGUUCUAUUUUUUACUUUGCUAGCAAUUUCAUCUGCACAACUGAGAUUUUUUGUAUCAUAGAAGGUUGUUUAUGUGUUGGAACUCCUAAUCUUGAUAGCGUCCUAUGGAUGAUGUCCCAAGUCAAGUUGUUACAUGAUGAUUUUUCACAACAUUCCCAAAAUUGAUGACAAAAAGUUAUGCUUUGCAGGUUUCUAGAUAGAUAAUCAGGCAUCAUGUUUCUCUUAUUCUUCUUCCUCCAUUGCCAUCACAUGUGUGAACUCAACUUUGAAUUAAAUGUAGAAUUGAUCGUAAGGUUUCAAUUCAACUGGAGGGAUGUUUAAGUAGCUACCUUCCCAUGCAUGGCAAAAUUCGUCAACUGGGAUCUUGAUCACAAUCCAUGGUUGAUUAGUUUUUGAAAAGAAUAAGGAAAGAGAGAACUUAACUAAGAGAAAUAAGGUUAUUGCGCAACUUAAGCGCGCGUUUAAGGGUUUUAGUUAUAUUUAUCUAAGUUUUAAACCAGUUUUCAAAUUCUACAAGGAUUAGGCUCUUAAUCCCGGUAAAAUAGGAACAAGAUAUUGUUUUUGAAUCUUGUCUUGAAUUUUAUUAGGAUAGUGAUUAGUUUAAGAGUCAAUCAAAUCUUGGAUGAAUUUACAAAUUGGGAUAUUUAACAUGUAUGAAGAUAUAUGGACCGAAUUGGCAAAUUAUGAACUUUCGGAAGGCACUUUCGGACUGUAAUUUGUUUGACUUAGGACAUGAAGGUAAUCGCUUCACUUGGUGUCGGAAUAGGUCGGCUCCUGACACAACUAGAGCUCGUCUGGACCGCGCAUGCGUCUCCCAUGACUUUCUCACCUUGUUUCCUGAUGCCAGGAUCUAUCACUCACAUGCUCUUUUCUCCGAUCAUGUCCCUAUUGUCUUACAAUUAUCGUGCUCACAUGGCCUCUUAAAAGCUCGCCGCAAAUCUGGGAGGGACAAACGCUUCAUGUUUGAAGCAAUGUGGAUCAAAUCGGAGGACUGCGAACGCAUUAUCCAAGAUUCUUGGGAGUAUAGCUCGACAGAAAAUGCUUGUGCCAACCUGGUUUUGAAGACAAAUAGUUGUAGGUUAGGCCUUCUCCAAUGGAGCAAACAGUCCUUCGGCAACCAUACUAAGGCUGCGGAUGAACUUCGGCAAAGGAUUUCUCGCCUCCAACAAGGUGUCUUGACGGACACUACCAAAGCUGAGAUUGGUUCCUUAACUACCCAGCUAGAGGAGCUUCUGGACAAGCAAGACAUCAUGUGGAAACAGCGCAGCAAAGCGCAGUGGUAUAGAGAGGGUGAUCGUAACACAGCUUACUUCCAUGGCCUGGCUUCCCAGAGACGGAAGCAUAACCAGAUUGUUGGCCUCUUCGAUAACAAUGGUUCUUGGUGUCAGUCACAGGAGGCUCUAGAAUCUAUUAUCAUGGAACAUUUUGGCACAAUCUUUUCUACUUCACAGCCUACUUCUCUGGCAAUUGAUGCAGUUAUCCAGCGAGUGCGGGGAUGCGUCUCCAAGGAAAUGAAUGAUUGCCUCCUGCGUACCUACACUACCAUUGAGGUAACAAAGGCUCUAAGUCAAAUGCAUCCUUUUAAAUCUCCUGGGCCGGAUGGCAUGUCACCAGUCUUCUACCAAAAAUAUUGGCAUAUUGUUGGUCGAGAUGUCACUCGUUGGGUUCUUACUGUACUAAACAAGGGCACCUUACCUACGAGUCUUAAUCACACCUAUGUUGUCCUUAUCCCUAAGUGUCACAGUCCAUCCAGUAUCACCCAAUUUCGUCCCAUUAGUCUUUGCAACGUAGUUUAUAAGCUAGCCUCUAAAGUCUUAGCUAAUAGGCUUAGGAACUGUCUCCCCAAAGUCAUCUCGCCAUGUCAAUCUGCGUUUAUCCCUGGGCGUUGUAUCACUGAUAAUAUCCUAAUUGCUUAUGAAAUCAAUCAUUCCCUUAAGCUGAAGUCCUCUGGGCAGGAGGGAUCGAUGUCCAUUAAGUUGGACAUGAGCAAAGCAUUUGAUAAGGUCGAAUGGCUUUUUCUUCGCCAUAUGAUGAUUGCUCUGGGUUUCCAUUCCACUUUUGUGGACAUUGUUUUCCGCUGCAUUUCUACUGUGUCUUACACUUUCCUACUUAAUGGGUCCCAACUUGGGAACCUACAACCCCACCGUGGUAUCAGGCAGGGGGAUCCUUUAUCACCCUACUUGUUCUUGAUCUGUGCCGAAGGCUUUUCUUGUUUGUUGCAGGAAGCUGAACGUUGCGGAAGCAUCUCAGGUUUUCGGAUCGGCUCACACGGACCCAAACUAUCUCACCUCCUAUUUGCCGAUGACACCUUAUUGUUCGGCAAGGCAUCGCUGCAGGAAGCUCAGCACAUCAAGACAAUCCUUGACCUUUACAAGGCAGCUUCAGGUCAGGAGGUUAACUUUGAUAAAUCAGCAGUGGUCUUCAGCAAAAACACAGACCCCGCAGUUCGUCGAAGCAUCACUCAGCUUCUUAACAUCAAGGAAGUUCCCACUCACGACAAAUAUCUUGGCCUUCCUACUGUGGUUGGUCGUUCCAAGGCUGAAGUUUUUUCAUCUGUAAAGGAGAGAAUCUGGCAGAAGAUACAUGGAUGGAAUGAACAGCGCCUCUCAACGGCAGGUAAGGAAAUCAUGAUCAAGGCUGUUGUCCAGGCCAUUCCAACAUACUCAAUGUCCUGUUUCAAGUACCCGGACUCCUUGCUUUCCGAUAUUCAAUCUAUGAUCAGUAACUUUUGGUGGGGUGACGGCACUAAGCAGAGACCAAUCCACUGGGUGAGUUGGGAUAGAAUGUGCUCGUCCAAAAAUGAUGGGGGCAUGGGCUUCAGACAACUUAAGGCUUUCAAUUUAGCUUUAUUAGCUAAACAGGCAUGGCGCAUUGCAACUCAACCGGCUACACUGCUUCAUCAGGUUUUUAAGGCGAAAUAUUUUCCAACGAAGGACUUUUUUCAUGAUGAGCCUACUUCCAGGCCUUCUUUUACUUGGAGGGGACUAUGCGCUGUUCGAAGAUAUUUACUCUCUGGUAGCAGAUGGCGAGUUGGAAAUGGGAACCGUAUCAGAAUUUGGAAGGAUAGGUGGAUUCCGCGCCCUUCUACUUUCAAAAUUAUAUCCCGUUCUGAUGUGUUGCUAGACGAUUCCACUGUGGAUUGUUUAAUUGACAGAGAUAGCAGGAAAUGGAAAGUGGAGUUGCUUCGGGAGCUUUUUUGGCAGGAUGAGAUUGAGCUGAUUAUGGGCAUUCCGUUGGGAGAUAGUCGCAAUCAAGAUAAGCUCAUAUGGCACUACUCUAAAAAUGGCUCAUUCACAGUGAAAAGUGCCUACCACCUCAUCAAAGCACACUCUACAGGCUGGCAAGAUGUAGCUUCAGGGAGUAAUGGCUCGGGGCAGGAUAUUUGGCCUCGUCUGUGGAAGCUCAACAUACCGAAUAAAGUUAAGAUAUUCUUGUGGCGUGUCUGCAAGGGUAUUCUACCUACCUCUUCCACGCUGAAUAGGCGUGGAGUCUACCUUGACCCUAUGUGCCUUUUGUGUAAGGCCCCUGUUGAAGAUGUGAAUCACCUCUUCUUGUGCUGUCCGGUAGCAGUUCAGGCUUGGGCCCUCAGCUUUCUUACGCUAAAGAUAAGGUUAGACUCCGCAAAGCAGGUCUCUUCUUGGUUGCCUAGCCUUCUGAAUCUCUUGAAGAAGCAGGACAUGGAAUUGGUAGCCAUAAUUCUUUGGAAUCUAUGGCUUAAUCGAAAUGGAGCUUUAUUCGAUGGUUCAUAUCGGGAUCCGCUCAGUCUAGUCUCACUCUCUAUCAGUUUCUUGCAGAAGUAUCGGGAAGCCAACACAUCUCCAAAUACUCCAAUCAGCACUACCACUGCUCUACUCCACUGGACAAAGCCCCCUGUGGGCUUCCUAAAGGCGAACUUCGACGGCGCAGUUUUCUCCGAAUAUGGCUACUCUGGUGUUGGAGUUGUUGUUAGGGACGCGGGGGGCAAUUUUGUUGCAGGAACUUCUCACAAAUUCUCUGGUAUCUUUUCUCCUGAGGUCAUCGAAGCCUAUGCUGCGAGAACUGCAAUUUCCUUGCUGCUUCAAUGGAAAGUGCCCAACAUUAUUUUGGAGGGAGACUCUUUGAAGAUCGUCAGCAUGCUUAAGCUUAUGGAGUCUGAUGACUCCGCCUAUGGGGUGCUAUUAGAUGAUAUCUUUGUUAGCUUACAGAACUUUGACGCUUGGGAGGCUAACUGGGUCCCUAGGAAGGCCAAUGUGCCAGCACAUUUAUUAGCUAGAAAUGCUCGUUCUAUUUCAGAUAGCUGUAGUUGGAGUUAUUCUCCACCAUCUUUUCUUCUCUCCGCAAUUUCGGCGGACCUAUCCUCACUUUAAUGAAAUUUUCUAUUGUGCUAUCAAAAAAAAAAACAUGUAUGAAGAUAUGAUAUCCCCUUACGGAGUUAAAUUUCAAAGAUGCUAUGGUAUCAUUCACUGCUACAUUAACCAACGUUCAUUCAACCCAAGAGAAAAGUAUAUCUUUCUGCUUCUCAGCCAUGUAAAAGUUAAAAUCUUAGGAGUUGUCUAGGAUGAUCUAGGUAGUCUAUUACUUUAAAAUUUUCCAUAAAAUUUGCAAAUAUGCAUGAUUGGCAAUUUUUCUUUUUUACUUUGGCAUAUAAUUGAAAGUAGUUGUUUUGAUUUUUAGAGGAGCAAUAGAAUUUUGGACUCAAAGAUUAAAGUUCUUAUGCUUCAAAGCAUCUUCCAAGUCGAAUUGCACUGAAUUUUUUACUGUUCAAGCUCCAUUCUAUUUAAUAUUUGAUGGGUUUGAGCUUGAUUUAAAAGCACAAAAAUUUAUUUAAUUCUUUGAUUUUUAAUAUUAAAUUAUCACUAAUACAUAUGAUAUAUAAUAAAUAUAUAAUUUCAUAUAAAUUAUUAACAAAUAUUUUAAAUAAAAAUAUAAAAAAUUAUUCAAAUUGAAUCAGACCUUAACGAGCUGAAUAUCUAUAAGUUUGACUUCGAUUAAAUACCAUAAAUGAAUCCUAAUUCCUACUCAAAAUAUAACUCAAGUUUAUUAAAAAUCAAAUUUGAAUCAGAUUCUUAACGAAUUGAGGUCAAAUGCUUCAUUAAAAGUACGAUUUGUUUAUAGUCCUGAUUUCGUAUGCUAGCGUUGACACUAAUAAGGGACACAAAAUCAAUGUAGCCCAACUAGAAAAUCAAUUAUUUGACAAAAAAAAACUAGAAAAUCAAUUUCUUCCUAAACCUUUUCGUUUUUUUUCCCUCACAAAAUUGAGGGAGCCCGAAACAGAAAACUCUAAAAUUCUGAGUUGUAAAAAUAAAAAGAAAAGAAAUUAAAAUUCCAAACUCCAAAAUAGGCGCCAGGCGGUUUGUCGGUUACCGGAAACAAAAAAGUUAUUUUGAAACACCCCAGAAACAUUUGUAAGUUUUCAAAAAACGGAAAAAACUAUUUUAACCAAAAUUGUUGCAGAAACAUUCAAGAUUUUGAUCUCAAUCUCCAAUUUUCCAUGUCUUUGAGCACUUUCAAGGAGACCCUUAAGCCGUGCAAAAACAACCCAUCUGCAUCAUCCUCUUCUUCUUCAUCUUUUUCUUCAAUUUCCCACAAUUUUGACUCUUCCAUAAACCCUAGGAAACCCCCCAAAUCUUCACUUUCUCAGCAGCUUUUGCGCCUUCAACACCAAGAGUCCACCUUCUAUUUGCCUCGGACUCAGCUAAAAAGCCCAAAAACAGAGACCCUUUUGGGACCUGAAGCUGAAGAUAAUGAUGAUGAAGAAGAAGUGGAGGAGGAAGAAAAGCAAGAUAGGAUUUUUAGGCCAAAGAUGGAGUCUUUUCAGUUUGAUCAUACUGGACCUUUUGAACCAUUAGUUCUCUCUUUACCUGGUGAAAUUUCUGUGGUUCAGGUGAUUUGUGGAUAUCCCAGUAUGUUAAAGCAUUUCAUACUGGCAUUUUCCUUUUCGGCUUCUAUGAUUUCAAUUUUUAUAGCUUUUAUAGAAUGCGAUGAAGAUCAAAACCUGGCAUGUAGCCCAGGGGAAAGGUUUCUCUCGUUUUUCGAGUAAAAUAAUGGUUUAUGUAAAUUCUUCUUCAUUUGUUUUCUAAAGAUAAUCAAAGAAGACUUCUAAAUGUGCAUUAGAAGAAGGAAAUACAUGUACUAAGAUUAGUAUUUGUUGUAUUAAAUUAGUUAUAUUGGAGAUUAAUUUGCUUACAUCUGCUUGUUGUAAAUGAUAGUUCGACCUUGUCUUUUGUAUUAAGAGCUACUGCAACGUGUUAAAGUAUAUUUGUUUUAUGUCGAGUGUUUUUAAUUUCUACUUCCAAUUUUAUUUUGCACUAGUUUUCCUAAUGAAUUAGUUAUUGGCUAUUCUUUUGACGAUUGAUGAUGGAGGACUAGUAAUGAGUUGGUAAUUGUUGUAGUGUAUAAAGAAUGCUUUUCCUCCAUGCUCAUAUAGUUUUAGUCUAUAGGAUUAAUCAAUACGUGUGUGAAUUUCCUAUUAGCUAGAAGAAUAUGUCAGCGGUAAGAGGGAUUUGAUUUCCUCCACAACUGGGUGAAGUAUUGGCAGAUUUAGGGUACUGUCUUCUAUUUGGUGUUUGAACUUGAAAUCUUUGGAAAAGUUUUUUCCUUCUUUUUCUGAAACUGACAUUUGAAAAUUCUUCAAGUUCUGAUUUUGGACAUCUUCUGCUGUUACUUGAAUUAGUUGGUUCCUGCUUCUUGUUUCUGUAUGCCUUCCUUUUUUCUUAUUACUAUUCACUUUUUUGUUCCUUCAUGGAUUUUAAAUUGUUGUAGUGACAGUCAUCUACUUUUUCCCUACCCAACAAAUUUGAUAUAGUGAGCCCCUCUUUGUGAUGUUUCAGACCAUUAUGUAUUCAUUCUUGAGGCUUAAUGUAUAAGUGCAAAAUGUUAAUUUGUUUUUACAGGUACCCGCAUCUAUUAAUUGCAGACUCUUAGAACAUCAGCGAGCUGGUGUUAAAUUUUUAUAUAAUUUAUACAGAAACAAUCAUGGAGGUGUUUUGGGAGAUGACAUGUGAGUUUAAAUUUUCUUUCCAGAUAUUUUCCUUGAUUGAGUGGACUUUGAAUUUUAUUGCUGUGACUUCCAAUUGAGACAAUGUCUAAUAGGACAUUUUGUUUGCUCUUUCCUUUUUGGUUUGCAGUUCUGUCGGUCAUCACAUCCUGUCUUUUUUUUUUUUAAUUGGUUGGAAAAGGUAGAGAAGGACACAAGUAUUUAAAUAAGGUUAAUUAGUAUACAAGAAAAGCAUAUAAAGAUGUAGAGACUAGUAUCUUUUCCUUGUUCUGCUACAAAUAAACCAAAUUUUGCUUCUGCAUCCUCUCUCCUGCUCUGCAUUGGUUAAUUUGAAAUGAUUUUGCUGCACUAGACUUGGAAAACGCUUAUUGAGGAGUAUUGUCUGAUAAUGCUUUAUCCAACCUUCUCAUUAAGAAGUGACCCCUUUUUACAUUGUUUCUUUUUUGUUAUUAUUAUAAAGUUUUCAGAAUUGUCUGAUGAAGAAUAUAGAUUCUUAAGUUAGUACUGAAUCAUCACUUUCGUAAAUCCCAUUGAACUUACUAACUCAAUCAUCAAACUUUGGUUAAUCCCAUUGAACUUAGUGUUACUCCUAAUUAUUUUCUAAUAUCAUUUUCUUUUUCUGAGUCAAAAACUCUUGUUUAUCAGGGGAUUGGGCAAGACAAUCCAGACAAUUGCAUUUUUGGCUGCUGUUUUUGGAAAGGACGAAGAAGCUGAUUACUUAACAUCAUUGAGGGGAAAUCAGCCUGAGAAGAAUGGCUGUGUUCUAAUUGUUUGUCCGACAUCUGUUAUUCACAACUGGGAGAAUGAAUUUUCAAAGUGGGCACCGUUCUCUAUUGCUGUUUAUCAUGGACCUAACCGUGAUUUAAUAAUUGACAAACUAGAAGCUCGAGAAGUGGAGAUAUUGAUAACUAGUUUUGACACCUACAGAAUUCACGGUACUAUAUUGUCAAAAGUUCAAUGGGAGAUAAUGAUUGUUGAUGAGGCACACAGGCUAAAGAAUGAGAAGUCAAAACUUUAUAGAGCAAUUUUAGAGAUUAAAACCCAGAAACGAUACGGUUUGACAGGAACAAUCAUGCAGAACAAACUAAUGGAAUUGUUCAAUUUGUUUGAAUGGGUGGUACCCGGUUGCUUAGGAACACGUGAACAUUUCAGGGAGUUUUAUGAUGAACCUCUCAAGCAUGGCCAAAGGUCAAGUGCUCCAGAAAGAUUUAUUAGAGUUGCUGAUGAUCGAAAACAGCACUUAGUGACAGUAUUACGCAAGUAUUUGUUGAGAAGGACCAAGGAGGAAACCAUCGGGCAUCUUAUGAUGGGAAAGGAAGAUAAUGUUGUAUUCUGUGCCAUGAGUGACUUGCAGAAACGGGUAUACCAGAGAAUGUUACAGCUGCCUGAUAUCCAGUGCCUUAUUAAUAAGGACCUUCCAUGUAGCUGUGGUAGCCCUCUGAAACAAGUAGAGUGUUGCAAAAAGAUAGUGCCCAAUGGAGUCAUUUGGCCAUACCUUCACAGAGAUAAUCCAGAUGGUUGUGAUUCAUGUCCUUUUUGCCUUGUUCUCCCUUGCCUUGUCAAGCUUCAGCAGGUAAUUGAUUUUCUUAUUGUACCUUCAGAUAUUCUGCUUGUAAGGUGCUCUAAGACAUUAGAGCUAUUAAAAGAAACUGAUCCCUUGCAAGGGCCAACUAUAGCUUUUUUACCUUUAUUUCUCCGGUCGAAUGCAUUUUUUCAUGGUCAAUAGGAUUAGAGGUGAUGGUUGACUACCACCACUUACAGUUAUAUCUUAUAAUCACUUGAGUAAGGCCAUGUGGCUACCGUUUUGCUUAAGAUAUGAAUGUAAAAACUGGUUUAGGACAGAGUGUUUAUCAAUUAAUAACAAAAGUAGUGGUAGCUUCAGGAUUGAUCAAGUGAAUUGAAUGAAAGAAAGACCUCCCAUCAUACCAAUGGUUUUUCCCCCCGAUUUUUGCUGCUAUAUAUAUAUAUUAUAUUUUAUCUUUAUUUAACACUUGUCUGAUAGGUGAGUAAUCACUUAGAGCUCAUCAAACCAAAUCCAAAGGACGAUCCUGAUAAACAAAGAAAAGAUGCAGAGUUCGCUGCUGCUGUAUUUGGUACAGACAUUGAUUUGGUGGGAGGACAUACCCAGGAUGAGAGUUUUAUGGGUCUAAGUAAUGUCAAGCAUUGUGGUAAGAUGAGGGCUCUGGAAAAAUUAAUGUUCUCAUGGCUUUCCCGGGGUGACAAGGUCCUACUUUUCAGUUACUCUGUCAGGUAGAAGUUUAAAGCUUUACAUUUGAUUAGCCUUUAAUUCUUGUUUAUGCAUUUUUUCAUAACUUUACUGCAUGUAGACUAUAGUUCCAGUUUCCCUUCUCAGGUGCCAAAAAUUUGCAUGUGCUGCUCAAAGUUUCCAGCGUAUGCUUUACUGGCUCCUGAAAAAAAAUUUCAAGGAUCUUGAAUGCGACUUGUCUGCUAAAAUAAACUUUAGCAAGUCGUUAUCUUUUCUUCUUUUCUCAAUUUUGUUGUUUUUUUGGGUUUCUUCUUCCUUAUGGGGUGCCCAAUGGGAUCGGGCACGGUUUUGGUUUAACGGAUGGAACUUCACUCUGUUGUUUUGGAAAAGAAAAGAGAAAGCUACUCUGUGGUUGAUGUUUUAAAAUAAUAUAUGGAAAUCAGAAUUUUACUUGGAAGCUAUGUUAUCUGUUAAGUUUUGGUCUUUAUUGGUCUUAGAAUAAAUUAGUUGUACUUAAAUGUUCUUGAUGUUUUGAAAUAGGACUUGCAGGUAAUGUCCCUGCAAUGAAUUGGCUCUUUGCACCAUAAUGGAUGAAGAAUCUACACUUAGCUCUAAACACUUCUAAGAGUUGAGACAGCUUGUCAUUGCCCUCUUAUUCUUUUAAUGUUUUUCUUUUGAGCAGAAUGCUGGACAUACUUGAAAAGUUCCUUAUACGCAAAGGCUGUUGCUUUUCAAGACUUGAUGGAUCUACUCCGACUGGAGUACGCCAGUCUCUUGUUGAUGACUUCAACUCAAGUCCAAGCAAACAGGUUAGUUUUGACAUUUGGAGUCAGUUUUGAUACUUUGAGACUCAAUUUUGUAAUUUUACAUCUUAAUUGCAGGUCUUCCUCAUAUCAACUCGAGCUGGUGGGCUUGGACUCAAUCUUGUUAGUGCAAAUCGUGUAGUGAUCUUUGACCCAAAUUGGAAUCCUGCCCAGGAUUUGCAGGCACAAGACAGGUCAUUCCGUUAUGGGCAGAAGCGGCAUGUCAUUGUUUUCCGUCUUCUUGCAGCCGGUUCUCUAGAGGAACUAGUUUACACCAGGCAGGUUUACAAGCAACAACUAGCGAAUAUUGCUGUUUCUGGGAAAAUGGAGAAACGUUACUUUGAUGGUGUGCAGGUACUGUUGCUGAUUUUCUGAUUCUGUGCACAGUUGUCUUCUUAUAUCAUAGUCGUGAUCAUUAAGACUUGGGGUCCUUGAUCCCACUUUUCAGGAUUGCAGAGAAUUUCAAGGAGAGCUGUUUGGUAUCUGCAAUUUGUUCCGCGACCUGUCUGAUAAGCUUUUCACCAGUGAAAUAAUUGAAUUGCAUGAAAAGCAAGGAAUAGAGCAUGGAGAUUGUGAGAGUUCAAAGCAGAUUUUUACUGAACUUCAGAAGUGUUUUCUUCCACAGAAGGAAUUAACUAAUACGUCUGCGGAAGCAUCUCAGAACAGCAAACCUAAAGAUGCAGGUAAAGAACCGGUCGAACCAGUACUCGAAGAAUUGGGUGAGUGUAUUAUUUGUCGACUUGGGUUUGAAAAGUUGAAGUACCUCUACUGAUGCGAUGCCCUCUUAUGUUCCAGUAAUAUUCUUUUCCUUCAGUUUUUUCUUAGCAAAAGGUUUGCCAAAGUAUCUAUUAGAACGUAAUAGGCUGGGUCUAGUUUGUCACAGUGUAACUUAUGCUGUAAUAUUCUGUUCAGGUAUUGUAUACGCCCACCGAAAUGAAGAUAUUGUUAAUUACGGACCCGGGAUUCAAGGAGAUAAAGAAUUGGAUACGAAUUUAAGGUACACUGUGCAACAUUCACUUCUUGUUGUUGCCAGGAAGAGGAAAUCAGAAGCAGUAGCAGGUAGCAAAAAUACUAUAGAAAAUGCUGCUUCAUCCAAGAUGAGGAAAAAGAGCCAGUAUAGCCUCCUUGCUCAGUUCAUGGGUAUGGGGGAAGUAGAUUUCAGUAAGUGGUUACUUUCAGCGAAUCCAGAAGAACGGGAGAAAGUGCUUCUGGACUAUAAGAGGAGAAAGGAUAAGAUUCCAAAUGGCUGAUAUCUCCCCUCAUCAGGAAGGCAGAGUUUUUGUAAUGCAAAUUGUAACACGUUUCAGGCCAAAUUAACUCUGAAGCCAUAUCCUUCUGGGCUCACUGUAACAUACUGUAAGAUCAAUAAAUCUUUCCCAAAAUAUGGAAGUCGGUUGCUGUAAUUUCUUCAUUUGGGACUUUAGCCGUGAGUCGCUGUAUGCAUUUGUUUACUGACGUCUGGGUUAAUUCUCUUGAUCCGUUAAUCUUCUUGGAAGUUUUUUCAGAGCAUACUAAUUGGUGCACUUGGAAGACGAGUUUGAAACUCUCUCUCUCUUACAAAAACAUCUACCUUCUAGUGCGAAAUUCAGUGAUAUCUUCUUCCAUAAACUUAAAAUCCAUUGAGAGGCUCUCUCCAUUAAAAAGUUUGGAAGCUAUUGAGAGGCUCUCUCCUAAAAAUUCAUUCUGCAAUACACAUAGAUAUAGAUUCUUUUAUGAUGCUUCCAUUGGAAUUUAUAUUCUUGCUCCUUGUGAUUCUCUUAUCGAGCUGAUAUAUUUCCAUCUAUUCAGUAGAUGGGAAUAGUUUGAAUCCCAGGCCCUCCACAUUCAUGAGUGGUGCCGUGAGUUAGCAGUUUCUUUAUGAACAUGUGCUGGUGGAGACCACGAUUUGGAUGUAUGGCAAGGCAUUGGAAGAUAUUGCAGGAUCUUGUCUGGGCACACUUAGUAAUAGGUAUAGACCAUUAUGAGCAUAUAGAGGUUGAAAUAUCAAUGUUGGGCAAAACUUUCCAUCCCUUUUCUUUAAUUUUUCACACCCUUUCUGAGAAUCUUUUACUCCUCCCUUCUCUUGAGUUCCAAGAUCCUGUUUGGCAAAUAAAUUUUUGAUCAAAUUUAUUUAUUACAAAAUUUUUAGCAAAUUUAAUUAUAAUGAAUUUAAAAGAUUUUUCAAAGUUUAUAAAUUAUGCAUUUUAAAAUAUCUAAAAUUUUUUCCUACAACUUCUAUAGCGAGUUACAGUAAAAUUUUAGAUAAAUACUCAAAAAGUUCAUUUGUCAAACGAGUCCCACGUUGCAUCGAAGACUUUUAUACCAUUCUAGCUAUUGUUAUCAUAAGUACCAUUUUUUUGCAUUAACAUGUGAAGACCCAACCAAAAGCCAUGGAAAAGAAAAACAAAAAAAAAUAAAUGGAAGAUACAUGCUGCUGCAUUGCUUCUUUUUUUCUUUUUUUUUUUUUCUGUUUUUAACACUUCUCUCCAGCGUUAGGCAAUGAAUUAUGAGAACAUUGGGGGUAAUGUAAUGUAAGCAUAGAGGCACAGAUAAGUUUUGUCACAUGUGCAGAGAUGAUUGAAAAUGCAUUACUCGAUUGCAAGUGUAGUAGUAACUUUACCCAAAUACAUGAAUGCUGCCACGAAAACAAAAAGUUGGUUCGGUCCUACCUCAUUUAACGUCUAUGGACUCAAUUAUUUCAAUGGUACCCACGAGCCGUGUGGUCCUGAAUUGGUCGUUGGACAUCAUCUCUAGUCUUUUCUUGGAGCAGUACAUUUCGUUUUGGAAAAAGAUGAAAUGAAAGAUAAGUAAUGGAUUCCCUGCUUUGUAACGCUAGCUGUUGAAUGUUGACUAUGUCUGCCUGCAAAAAAUAUUAGUUCAACUAUUCAACUUCAAACAAAGCACUUUACGUUCAUCUGUUAAAGAGUUUCACAGUCGAUGGCUGAAGCUGUACUUAGUUUUGUUAGUGUGAUCUUGGAUAAGAUACUUCCACUUGCUGCCGAUGAGAUCAGCCGGGCAUGGGGUGUAAAGAAAGACCUUCAGAAGCUUGCCGACGAUGUACGGACGAUGGAAGCUUUGAUUUUUGAUGCUGAAUGCAAGCAAUCAACAACCAAAGCCACCAAAGCCGUGCAGCUCUGGCUCAAAAGGCUCCGGUCUAUAGCACGUGAUGCUGAGAUCGUGUUGGAUGACUUCAGAUAUGAAGUUCUGCGGCAGAAGGUUAAGAAUCGGAAGCGCGACAAGGUACGCAACUUCUUUUCUUCCUCAAAUCCUAUUUCCUUUCGUAUAGAGAUGGCUAACAAGAUCAAGAAUGUUAGCGCAUCUCUAGAGGAAGCUUACAGAAAAGCAGAUCAGAUCGGGCUUCAACCAGUUCAACUACCCAUGUCAUCUGCUGAUCACAAACAGGAUCGGUCGACUGAUCCUUUUGUGGACGAGUCACAAACGGUGGGAAGGGAGGUUGAGGUAUCUCAAGUUGUGAGCACGUUAAUUAGCUCAGACUAUAAGAAGGAUUUACCCGUCAUCUCAAUAGUUGGGAUGGGUGGGCAGGGUAAGACAACCCUUGCACAGCUGGUGCUAAAAGAUGACAGUGUAGUGAAGCACUUUGAUAAAACAAUAUGGGUGUGUGUGUCUGAUGAUUUCAAAGUGGGAAGGCUGUUGAAUAAGAUGCUACAAUCCCUUGAGGGAAAAAAUGCUGAGAUGACAAACACGGAAGCAUUGGUGAGGCAGCUUCAAGAAAAGCUGAAAGGAAAAAGUUACUUGCUGGUGCUUGAUGAUAUUUGGAAUGAGGAUCGAGAGGAAUGGGAUGGCAUGAGGAGACGUUUGUUGGCAAUAGGGGGUGCUCCAGAAAGCAAAAUAUUGGCUACCACACGUAGUGAUGAGGUAGCCUCAGCAAUGCAAACAUCUCAUUUGCAGCGUCUGGACAUCCUCUCAGAUGAUUAUAGCUGCAUGUUGUUUGAAAAUCUAGCUUUUGCAGACGGUGGUGCAAGAAGGACUCAAGAUCUCGUGGACAUUGGCAGAAGGAUACUGAAAAAGUGCGGCGGGGUGCCAUUAGCGAUCAAAGCGAUUGGGGGUUUGUUGUGUUCCAAAAAGGAUGCCUCGGAAUGGUUGACGAUCGAGAAGAGUGAAAUAUGGAACGAGUCGACCAAUAUUGCAAAUCGAGUCAUGUCUGCCCUGAAGCUGAGUUACGAGAACUUACCUUCAUGGUCAGUGAAACAAUGCUUUGCAAGUUGUUCCAUCUUCCCCAAGGACGCUUUCAUGGAAAAAGAAAGCUUGAUACAGAUUUGGAUGGCCCAGGGACUGAUUAAUGAUGCCAAGGGAGGAGGUCAUUUGCAAAUGGAGGAUAGAGGUAGUGACUAUUUCAACGUAUUGCUUCGGAGUUCUUUGUUGCAAGCUACUUCUGAAAAUUCCACUAACAGAUUCAUGUCCUGCAGGAUGCACGACCUUGUGCAUGAUCUUUCACUGCAAGUGUCAAAUAAUCGUUUCUUCAAUACAGAGGAUGGCAUGGAAGUCAGUCAUGAUGAUGAAGUUAUGCAUUUGACCAUCAUUGGGAGUCAAGGGAAGGUGUUAAAGAAUAUCGAAGGGAUUCCUCCAAAUUUGCAAACGCUUUAUUAUCUUGGGGGUGAUGGUAUUAUGCUCGAAGACAUCUUGGAAAGGUCUAGAUACCUUUCUGUAUUAAAAGUAGAUUGCUUGGAUGUUACUCAUCUCCCGAAUGCAGUGGGUAGUAUGAAACAUUUAAGACAUCUUGAUAUCAGUCAAACUGCAAUCGCCGCUCUGCCAGAGUCGAUCAUAAAGCUCUACAAUUUGAUGACCUUGAAAGUGUAUUACUUGAAAGAGAUACCUACGAAGUUUAGCAAUUUAAUUAACUUGAGGCAUCUCGAGUUUUCCAUGGGUUUUAGGGAUCGGCCCCCAUAUUUGAUCCCUGGGAUUGGGCAGCUGGCUAAUCUUCGGACGUUGCCCUACUUCGUGGUAAGCCAAGACAAGGGAUGUCAGCUUGAGGAGCUGGAACACUUGCGCAACCUCCGAGGCGAGCUAAAAAUUUUUGGACUUGAGAAUGUGAGCAGCUUUGAAUCGGCAGCAAAAGCAAAGUUGUCCGAAAAAUCAAGCAUUCAAAGUUUAACACUUGAAUGGGAUGAUACAAAUGAAGAUUGCGAUGACGACAAUAUCAAUAGUGUCAUGGAAGGUCUCCAACCUCGCCCAGACUUGAAAAGUUUAGCCAUUAAUGGUUUUAAAGGUUCAAGGUUUCCGUCGUGGAUGGUGGCAAAGGAUCACUUGAUGGUACUCCUAAGGAAUCUGGUACACCUCAGGUUGGAGAAAUUGGCUAGGUGUGAACAAGUACCAUCACUAGGGGACUUGCCUUGUCUCGAGUCCUUACAGAUGGUCUCCUUACACAAUGUGAAGCGCAUUGGGGCUGAAUUCUAUGGUCUCGAUAUUAAUGCAAGGCGCAGCGCUUCUUGUAGUAAUAGAGAUGGGAAACCAGUCACUCUGUUUCCGAAACUGUCGAGUUUUGCGCUGUGCGACAUGAAAAGUCUGGAGGAGUGGUCAGAUGCAACGGUUCCCUCGGAUUCUCCUUCAUCAAUUAAGGUAUUCCCUAGUCUCCGGGACCUGAGAAUCUCAGGGCUCCCCAAGUUGGCUUUUUUACCAGAUAUGGAGAACUUGACGUCUGUUACGGAGUUGAGGAUAAGGGAAUGCAGAAGUCUGGCUUGUCUAAGGAAUUUGAAUAGCCUCACAUCUCUGGAAUCCUUAUGUUUAGAUGACUGCCCUGCUUUAUUAGAUGCUUCUCUAGAUAUGAAAAACCCCCAAUCCCUACAUGAAUUAACCAUCUCAGGAUGUGAUAAGUUGAAUCCUUCAUUGAGUAAUAAUCUUGAGAAGUUCACAUCGCUCGAGUGGUUGACGAUCCGUUCUCAUGACCCUGGUUCUUGGCCAAUUAUGGGUCUACACCAUCUAGCCAACCUCAGAUCGUUGGAACUCGGUGGUCGCUUCUCUGACAUCCUUGACCUUGAUCAUUUCCCGUGGCCACACUCCAUCACCAAUCUCGUCUCUCUGGAGCAUCUUGAUUUGCGUGGAUGGCCAAAAAUCACGUCUCUCCCAGACCAAAUUCAGCAUCUCUCUACCUUGAGACAGUUACAGAUACGGGAGUUUGAGGGGUUGGAAGUUCUUCCAGAGUGGAUGGGUAGCCUUCGGAAUCUUCGCUUAUUGUGGAUUGCUGAUUGCUAUAACCUCAGACAGUUGCCCUCUGCAGAAGCAAUGCGACACCUCACCAAUUUAAAUCAACUGAGUAUCGCCAGCUGUCCUCUUUUAGCAGAGAGAUGCACCAAAGGAAUGGCGCAGAGUGGCCCAAGAUUGCACACAUUCCCGGUGUUUUAAUCGAUUGGCUGAUGCCCGUGUAACCGGUUUCGCACUAGGGAAACAAAGCCCCUGUAACUGUAAGUAGUUAAUAUUUCGAAUGUUCUGUUUUAAUCUACUUAUUCGGUUUGUUUAGAAUUCUAUUAGUAGUACUUUUUUUUUUCUUAUAUAUAAUCCCCGGAAGGAAAAAGGAAAUAAAAAACGCUACUGCUUCCUUUUAAAUUGCCAUAUCCUUGGGUUCCCUUGGGUUUACAGCUGGACCUGGAUAACAUCCUUUAUUUCAGGAAGCUCCAAACCCUUCUCAGUUGGUUUACUGGAAGCUUGAGGUCCACCGUGUGAUGGAUCAUCUGAAAGAAGAAAAUGGCAAGAGGAACUUAGCAACAAAGAUGAAUUGAAAAUAUUAUUGUUAUCAGGAGUAUAAGCCUACAAAUAGCAGUUGGCAAUUCAGAGGAUCGCAAGGAUAACAAGCGGACAGCAAAUACCCCAGAAUCUACCGCUUGUGAAUUAAGUUAUUUACUAAAACAUAAUUGAGUGUAAACCCAGACCCAUUCUGAAGAGGCAAACCGCUUUGAUAAUCUGGUAAUUCAAACAACACAUAUGCACAAAACUCACCUUGAUGCACAGAUAUCACCUUUGAACCAUACACCUGCAUAUCACAGUUGCAAAUUGUCAAAAACAAAAACUCACACAUCCCAUCAAAUUUUGUCCAGCAAGAAUAUCGCAACGACGAAAACCAAAAAUGGAUGUGUUUGUGCACGUGCGCGCUUGAGAGAAAGAGAGAGAGAGAGGACAUGGUUCCUUCCAACGAAUGCUUUGGGUGGUCUUCCUAGAAUGAUCUGUAAAGUGACUUCGCUACAUGAAACUACUUAAUCAUGUACUUUCCUGGCAAUUGGCAAGUAAAUGAAACUUGGUGUAGUUUCCUCUGCCAUUAUAUGUUCAAUCCAUAAUAUAAAAGGAAUUAAAGUGUAAUCGCUUAAUACCCCUGCUUCAUCAUCUCUUUUAUCUGUAGUGUGAUCUAGAUCAUCCUCAUCCUCUUUAUCUUCAUCAUCCUUUUCAGCUUCUUCUUCAUUUCAAGUUCAGCAAUUCUGGAGAAUAUACGAGCAUAUUCAUCAUCUUGAUUUUCACUUCUGGUAGUUUCGGCCUCAGAUGAACUGGGAAAAUCAGCUUUUGAUUCACCUGAAAAUGUUCAAGGAGUAACAAAAAUUUGUCGACGUUAUAAUGCCAGUUGCAAUACAAUUUUUGUUUACCAUAAGUUAACUAACUUAAAAGAAGGCAAAAACUUCUCAUGAAUGAGAAGCGCUUUUGGAAGAAAACUAAUGAUGAAGGUUAAGAUAGCGAAAACAUUCAGGAGGAGGAAAGGCAAAUCUACAUGGUUCUAUAGCCAAAUUUGCAAUGGAAAUGCUGCUAAUCAGUAUCUGCACCAAAGCUCCUAAAAUAAUUUGGACUUGGGUCCUCAUCCCAUUAAACUGGUAUGAUGAUGAAGAAAUUAUCCAUCACUCCCUCCAUGAAAUUUUAUAUGGCUUGAUAUGGCCAAAUCUCACAAAUUUUUUCUAAAUGAUGUCUGACUAAACAAAAUAUUGAAACAUUGUCCAGGUUACCCUGCAAUCUGACUAGACAAAGGAAAUUAGUUUUUUGGACACAAAAUUAGUCUUUUGGUAGUAAGAAUAACUGGCAUCCAACUAAGUUUUUCGCUUCUCAAUGAAAAGAUGAUCAUUCGCUGUCAUCCAGGGAGCUUGCUUAUUCUUACACGGAGUCUCUAAAUGUCUCGUGUCUACAAUUUGUAUGAUGAAAUAGAUCAGCCAUGGUCUACAAAAGUUGUUCUUCCUCAGCAACAAACAUGUCUACAAAUCAUUUGAGAUCUUCACAGAUUUUAUCCAAGCUUUGGCACUCUCAUGUCUAGAACUUUUAAAAAGUUUAAUUAAAAAAGAAAAAUCCAGACCGGACAUCCUUUCAAUGUGUUUUCAACACUUAGAAUCGUGAGAGAUACAAAUUAAAAUUUUUAAGAACUAUUGCAUUUGAAAGAAACAUUAAACUCACUACCUGCCUGCUCAAAGCGGACUAUAAUCUUCAUUGACAAGCUAAAAAGAAGAAGACCUGCCUGCUUUAGAUGCCUCAGCUAUAGGAUUUUCCUCCACAUAGUCUUCAACUAUUUCUACAGGAUCAUCCUGUCAAAAUGACCUGAAAAAUUAAACCAAAUAAUGAUCCAUGUUGUCAACGACAGUGAAUAGAAAUCUAAAGAAAUCCCCUAUGGCCAAUGCAGGUGAACAGGCUUACCGCUGCCUCAUUAGCCAUAGCAUUAAAAAAAGAAGCUUCGGUUUUAAGGUCCUGAAUGUCAGCCUUGAAAGAUUCAACUUAAGACUCUAGAAUUUUUCCUCUGCUUUUCAAAAUUUCAACUGUUUGUUUGGAUGUUCUUUCUGCAUGGUAUGCAUCUCCAAGGAGAAACCGACAAAAGUUAUUGCAUUGAUUAUUCACUUUUCUUUUGAUAGGUAAAUAACUAAGGACAAACAUCGACUAGGAGGCUAUCACUUCUCUUGAUUCCUCAACCACGAUGUGCACAGAAACAAACGAUGAUCCAGUGCAAAUAGGGCAUCGUGGAAACAAAUUCCUUUAAGUUAUCAGUUCCUGCAAUCGCAGAAGCGCACUGCAUUACACACCUCUCUUAAGCGGUAGUAACCAACAACUUAAAAAUGACUAUCACAUUUUAUAAUUGUCCUGAGGUAGCCACAAAUUGACAUUUCCUUUCCCUAAUGUUUAUAAACAGUACUGAUUAGCUCAACAAUCUUUUAAUCCCACAAAGCAACAACUAAGCACAAUCGGGAAAAAAGCCCAUCAAAUAACUGAAGUUAGGCAUGUCAAAAACUCACAUAAAUUCAAAAUACUUGAUAUUAGGAUUCAUAAAAACCCUUGAUUCGUUUGUAGACCCAAUUAAAAGAAGAUUCUUAGAGUCUUUUAUGUUGUCAAAUUAAGGAUUCAAAUUUCAUGGCACAAUUUAUUUUGGGCAGAAUGGUUUAAAAAAUUGAAAAUGUAUUAUAGUUCAAAAAUAAAAAUCGCCUGAGAUGAAUAUAGUUGAUGGUUUCCUACUUUCACAUGUUUACUAUCAAGAGUCAGAAGAUACUACUAAUCUCGGUUUCUCUCCUCUUCUCAAUUCCUCUCAAUAAAAUCAUUUUUAUAUUAAUUUGCCACUCAUUUUCUUUUAUAAUUUUUUUUCAGAAUGAGUAAAUUUUCUCCACGCGAAUUUUGAAUUCACUUGUAAAUCCAUUUAUUGGGAUAAACACUAAUUUUGAAUAACGAGUUUAAAAUUGCAUCAUCCUAUAUUCAAACAAUUUGCAAGUAGCCAUGUAUUUCUUAUUCUCAAACCCAACCCUCUAGCCUCUAAUACAUUUUUUUUUAAAACGGCAAAAAUAAAUCUCAUUUAUGAAAGAGAGACACUAGCAAAAACUUAUGGUCUUGUGCAGGUCGGGGAAUGAUUGUCACAGUUUACCAUUUUGGAUUGCAAUUUUUGGAACUUUUUGUACGAAAAUAUACAAUAAUUCAAGAAAAUAUGUAAGAAAAUAUUCUAUGAAAUUCAAGAACUUUUUCCACGAACUAAUCCUUUUCACUACAACUUUUUAUAAUAAUAAAACUACCUCAAUUCUCAAAUCCCAAUUGUUUGACAAAGGUAAGAUUACUAUAUUAUGUAAAAAUUACUAUACCAUCGAAAUCUGAGUUUUGGCAUUCAAUAGCCAUGGGCAUGUGCAUGGACCUAAGCUUUUAGGAACAUAUUUAGAGGAUUCACAAACAUAUAUGGUAAAAGUUUAUUUAGAUUGUUAUUUUUUGAAGUUUUUUGUAAAAAAAAAUAUAUUGUAACGAUAAUGCAUAUAAGAUUAAAAAGUGAUUGAAAAAUAUAUUUAUGAAAAAUAUAAUAUUUUUUGGAAGAGAGAUACCAAUCCAAACAAAGUAAUUUCUUUCAAAGGAAAUUCAGUUUUAUAGUGCAUUCUCCGUUUUAUAGUAUGGUUUCCCAAAAAAUAUCUGUUUCCUUCAAGCUACUUUUAUAACUCCUUUUGGAAGUCGCUGGAAAAUUAACUGGACUUUCUAUUUCAUCAUUUUGACUUGUAAAAUACACGCGCAACACCUACUCCUCUCUUCAUCACGCAUUGAAAGUUUCUAUGCUGCAAUCUAGUAAGCAUGAUUAUACCGUUUAACUAGUUCAUUAAUAAAGUAUUCCAAUAUCUGUCUCCGACUAAAUUAUUAUUAAACAAAUAGUAAUAUCAGAAGCCCGUCUUUUCUGGCACUACAAUUUACCAGUGAAGGGUCUUCUUGUUGUUAAAGCUUAAAACCCAGAGAAACAGCAAGAAUCCUGCUCAAUCAUUUAUAACCUUUUUUUUUUCCUUUCCAAUUUCAAGUUUUGUUCUCUGAAUUAGUUUGUUGAGCUCUCACUUUCUUUAGAUUGAUCGGUGCCUUAAGCCGAUUAGUUGUUGGGAGGUCGUUAGUUAAGUGAAACAAUCCAUUGAUUUCAGUAUAAGCAACAACCCUUUUUCAAUUUUAGUUGGAAAAAUCUCCUUUUUAAGUGAAAUGGGAUCAUUUCUUCGUCUGGGUUUGUGGAAAAAAGCUUCAAGGAUAAGAAUUUAAGUUGCUUUUGAGAUGGGUUUGGUUGAAAGUUUAGAUUUUUAUCGGCUAAAGAGGGUGAAUUUGAGGUUCUCGUCAAGAAUCUGCUUUGGAUUGUGGUUAGCUUUUGCUGUUUUUCAUCCAGUUCUGGGGCUGCGGCCUUUAAGGGAGAGAAGUCAAUCAUGGGGUGAUGAGGUUAGUAUUGAAUUUUUGAAUGCUUUGUUUAUCCAAUUAUGGUUACAAAUUUUGGUCUUAGAUUAUCUAGUUAUGGUGUUUUGACCAAUUAAGCGUCUGUUUGGUUUUACUUUACAGAUUGACCUUUUGCCUUUCUGUUCUAUUUAUGGUGGUAAUGUUGAAUGUUUAGUAAAAGGAAAAGCCAUAAAUUGUGUGACUUGCUGGGGAAAUUAAUUUUCUUGACUAGUUUGUGUAUAAAAGAAGUAAUUUUGGUUUUUUUUUUUGGGUGAUAAAAUUUUUGGGAGUUUUCUAUUGCAAUCUCACUUUGGCAGCUGUUCGUGAAUUAUCAUUAUUUUUGUUUCAUAAGCAGCUGGCCGGGAUAUUUUAGAAUUUAGGUUUUGGAACCAUUAAUGUAGAAAUUUUUGCGUGAACAUUUGAGUAGCUUUCAGAGUGGAUGUAGGUGACGUGUUUACCUUUAUGUACAAUUGGCCACUUCAUAUUGGUCCUCGCUCAUAUGAGGGCAGCCUGAGAAUUGACCAGAUUGAGAAUCCGAGAGUAUGUAUAACAAAGGGUUUAGGGACUGAGUCUUCAUUUCAGCUCCUUAUUGACAUCUGUGUGGGUGAAUAAUUAUAGUUUCAAAGUGUUGGGAGGUAUGAAUUAGCACAAGGCACAGAUAUCAUCAUAAAUAACCACCUCCACAGUUGGAAGUACGCAACUAUCGAGAUUUCCGACUGGUGAUUUACUGUCUGUUUUCAGAAGGGCAUAGAGUGUUAAAUUGGAAGGUAUGCUGAAGGGAGUGAUACUGUGCUUGUCUUGCUUGAAUAUGAGUUAGUCUCUUAUGAGAGGCUGAAAGCAAAUAAAGCAUCAGAUUGACAGAAGAAUUCGUUCAAGGAGGUUCUUCAUGAUCACUCCUACUGAGAACUAGACGAAACAAAAGAGCUAGUGGAAGAGUUAAUUUUGUGUAAAGAUUGGUUCACUUGCAUGAUAAACUUGGAGGUUGUGGAUCAGAUGUAUUCCCUUUCAUUGAAUGAAGCAUGUAUGUAUGUUCAGACAAACUGUUUUUUUUUUUUUUGGAUGGAGUUCUUUCUUUAAUUUGUCUUUUGAUAGAAUUCAUAUGGCCUAGUUGCUGGAUGUUAUGAACCAACCUGACAAUUUAUAGCGUGAAACUCAGGCGUGGGCUCAUCCUUGUGAAGUCACCGACUUAAUCAGUCUGAAAGUUUCUGUCAUUUCUUUUUCAUUCCCCCACAGAGGUCUAUGGAUUGUGAAAGGUUCCACCUCUGUUUAUGUCAAUAUUGGACACAGACCAAAUGUUAAGGAAGAAUAAGUAGAGGUUUUGUAUUGCCAAAACUAUUAUUGAAGGAGCACUUUUGGAAGGGAUUCCUGGUGCAAUAAUUUGUUGCCAGGAAGCUGUUUGGGUUACUUUUGGUAUUGGAGGCUGGAUUUCUCUGAUAUUCUGUGUGGAUAAGUGGAAUAGGAUGUUGGGCAAUGAGAAGAACUAGCUUCAGCUAAAGUUUUUUAAGGAAAAUAAGAAGAAUUAGGGCAUUUUGUGGAGUUUGAGGUGGAUCAUCUCAGGUGUUUGAGCUGAGGUACAGAAGCUGAAAGUUCUUGAAAUCUUUGAACUUUCUGGUUAAUUUUACCUUUAAAAGAAUUGCAUUAAAUAUGACGUGUUCAUUUCAUGAUUUCUGAUAACAGAACUGUGAUCCUUAUAGGAUAAAAUGGGUAUCUUUCUGACAAGAACCUCAUCUAAGUUCGCAUUUGAGGCAGACUAGUGCAACAGAAUUUUAACUGCAAUGAAGUAUGUACCUGUUAUUCAAAUGAUGAAUUCUAGGUGCUCUUACUUAAAGAGAUUGUGUAUAUUCUUUUCAACAGUGUAAGGGAACAUAGGUGUCUUGUUUCUUCAAAAGUCCUAAAACAAGGCCAUAUUCCCGUGCAUUGAAAUUAUGUGAGUUUGAUGUUUGAACAUGAGUUGUAUAUCUAUACUUGAUUGUACAAGCCAACUUAGAAGUGAGGCUUGAGAAUGUGUAAAAACUACUCUAAGGUUAUAUCCAUCUGCUUUAAGUUAAUGGUUAUAGGUUCCUCCAAAAAGAAAUUAGAGAAAGUUAUGUCUCAGAAAUAUGCCUUUCCAGCUCGGAUAUGCUGUUCCAAGUUAACAUACUAAACAUAAUAAAAAGCUGGAUUUUCUGUAAGCAAGUUCACUAAUUUGUAUCUUCAUCCUGUCAUAUAUUUUUCCAUCCAACUUUCUGCAUUUAUUUUUCUUGGAGUAAUUCUCAUUGUUGCUUUUAACAGUGGCUUUUCGUAAGAAAAGAUGAGAGCGAGUUGGGGCCUUUUUCUGCAUGGAAUAUAACAGGAACAUAUAGAGGUUUGUCAGUUAUCUUGCUUUGAAUUGCAUCCAUUCUCUGGUCUUGAUUAUGUAUACCUUUUCUAUGUCGCUGAAUACGCUUAUAAGUACCUUAACUUUGCUGAUAAUUAGUAGCCUAUUUUAUACAUUGUGUUAAGCCUGAAGGAUAUGAAUAUUUUUAAGCUGAAACAAAUGAAAUUAGGUUACGAUCUUUGACUAUACCUGUUUUGGAAAUUUAAAGGUAAUUAGUAUUUAUUUCUAGUUGAACAUUUUUGUCUGAUUGAGUCAUGCUUUAAGAUUCUAUUUUGUUGUAUUAACAGUUGGAUGAGGUAACUUGACGCAAAUUUAUAAUUUCACGGAUAUGUGUAAACUAGGAAAGAGGUGGAAGACGUAAGGCAUUUUUGCCUGCCUAGAUACUGUUUUAAGAGUGAUCUGUCAUGUUUGAUUAGUGAAUGCUAUUGAAUAUUACAAAAUCUUCAUAUCAGUAGCGGAGCAGUUUGGAACUUUUAUUUCUGAUACUUGUUAGGGAAAUUUUUCGGAUAUUCAUGCUCCAUGAUUGCUAGCAUCUAAAAAAUAGUCGGCACCCUGAAGUGCCUGCGUUUCCUAUUAAUAUAUUUUCCCUUUCCUACGUGUUCUUUUUUUUCCCUUUUCUUGGGCAGGCAUUUUUGAAGAAUCUUUGCUAGAAUCAUGUAAUUUUGAAUGAUAUCAUGGGGUUACAUCUGGUAAUUGUAUUUCUGUCAAAGAGUGACUAAAUAUUAUUGUACAUAUCUAUAGGACCAAAAGUAAAUAUCUUGUUGAUUUGACUGCUAUUAAUGAAAUGUGCUCAAAGUUGUUUUUGGAUACUACACCUUGCUGAUUAUAUGAUUCAAUGGAUUUACCAUGCAGGGUCGUGGAGAUUUCUGGACUCCACAAAUAGCUCAUCCAGGUUUCCUGAUUUCAAGAAAUCCAAUGGAAACUCUGUCCUUGAACUAAUUAGCACUCCAACCAAAAUAACUGGUGUACAUUACGUUCAGGUGAUACCAUCAUUCUGCUUGUUCUAGCAGUGGCUUGGAUGAACAGUCCUUGUCUUAGCUUGUCUGAUUCAUUUCAUGGCUGAAUAAAACCUUCAAUCUGCACAGUGAUCACCCCUUGUCUGUCAAUUUGUUCAUCCUGCAUCUUAACGUGAAUUUUUUGUAGGUCAAAAUUAGUCUUUGCCUCCACUUCUGAUAGGGGAAAGAAAAGCCGUAUACUUUUUAAGUAAUUAGCUAGCUUUGAUUGUGAAAUACAUGCAUAUAGCAGUUGAAAUUCUUUAUCAGUUAAGUUUAUAUCAAGUUGGUGACUGAGUGUCUCUGGAAAUGUUUCGAUAAACAGCAGAUUGUUUUGUUUCAAAGCAGUCUGUGUUGAAUUUGUUCUGGGAUAGAUAAUUAAUUGCCAGCAAUGUAAUGACUGACUAUAUACUGUUACAUUUUACAUCUCCUGUACAGUUACAGUUUACAUCUCCUCUAUUUGACCUGUGCUUAUACAUUGCGAAUACAUAAUGUCUGUGCUUAUACAAGUAACUCUUAGACCUAUUCAAACAUUUAGCUUUAUUCUUGGGGAAUUUUCUUAGCCAAAACUCAUUCCUGUUUGUGUUGCAAUUCUCAUUUGUUUUGUUAAUAUAUGUAAUAGGGUGUAUUAAUCUUCCAUGAUGUUUAUGAUAAUGAACGUGAAGCUGGUGGUGCCCAAAUUCGAAUAGAAGGGGUCUAUAUAUGGCCAUUCAGACAACUCCGACUGGUAACUUAUAGGUAUUCUUGGGUUUGCUUCCACUCUCUUCUUCUGAAUCACUCUUGGGAGUGGUGGAUGAUAUUGCUUUAAAUAUGGUGUCUGCACAAUCAAGGUAGUACUCCUGUUAUAAUUUAAGGAUAUGCGUGGAGCCGCCAGUCCUGCAUAAUCCUGCUAUGAUUCUGCUUAAAUAUGCUCUGAAACUCUGUUGUCAGUUCUCACCAUAAUAUGGCAUAUUUCCAAUAGUAGAUAUGUCUCUAGCCAGCGAAGAAAGUUUGAAUGUGUAACCAUCGGUGUAAACAUCCCUCAUCUGUAUAUCUAGUCUGGCUCCUGUCUGCAUGAUAUUGGAUUGGUUAGUUGAGACCUGGGUUCUUAAUUUGUGACUUAAUAUUUAGUUCUAAUCUGAAGCUUUUUUUAUUUUUAUUUUUUUCUGAGUGCAAAAUUAUUUGUAGCUGUGAUCUUAUUUGGAUGACCUGCUUCUCGUCCCUAAUUGACCCACAAUUUGACAUUCACUUCUAUGCAUUUGCUGCUAAUGUUGUCAUUGGUAUCUUCUGCGGACAUGUUUUGGUAACUUUUCACAUUCUUGCUGUUCUUUUUUGCAAGAGUCUUUAGUUGUACUUUCUCUAUCUGUAUGGUUUUGACUGUUUACUAAAAGUUUCAUGGCUCAAGUUACCUUGGUUUAAAUGAUCCCAACAUUUUGAUCACUUCACUAAGUUUUUAGAAUUGAAUUAGAAAAUCACUUCCCGAAAAUGUUCUGGAUUGGCCCUUUGUUCUCUAUACUGAAUUUAUAUGACUUAUGAUUUCCUUGUCAAGCAUCUUCACCAUCUUUUUGGCCUUUCUUGUUUUGCUACUCUUCUUUCCUUCCCCUUAAAAGGAAAUAGAAAGAGGGAAAAUGGAAAGGAGAAAGACAAAAAUUCGUUUAGGAAAUGCUGAUUUGCUUAUUAAUAUAAUCUGCAGAAGUGUUUUGGAAGCUUUCAUAACUCACAUUUCUGGAAAUUCUAAUUUGCAGUGGAAAAGAGGGCGAGUUUGGCCAGGAAGAUGACUAUAUACUAUCGAAUCCGUAUCACUUGGUAAUUGCCAUCUCUUAUGGUCGACUUUUUGAUGGUUCUGUGGGAUAAUGGUGCUUGCAUUUUCUGCUUUUCAGAUUGAAUGCAAAAUAGUUCACUGUCAUUUGAAUGACAGAAAUUCAAUAUAUGUGAUGCUGCUUUUAAGCAAUUGGGUAUCUGUUUGGGUUCCAUUUACAGUUUCUAUGUGUGUUUGGUUGGUUUUGCCUUUUUCUAAAUUUUUUUCCUUUCCUUUUUGUUCCAGUCUGUUGUGGAAAUGUUGUGUUUAAAGGGAAGAUCAUAACUAAGGUCCUUAUGGAUUUGGUGUUUUUAAAAAAUUUACUGUAGCAUUUAAUCUAAAAAACUAUACUGUAGCAUUGUACUUUGGUGUGUUUUGUAACAUUUAAAAUUUUUUUUUGGAGUGCCUUAGAAAAGUUAAAAAGUUCCUUCUCCCACUAACCUAAGCCUCCCACCACACCUGCCUCGCUUUCCCCGCCCGUCAACUCCUCUCCGUCCCCCACACCUUCCCUUCUCUGCUGCCUCCUCCUCUUCCCCCCUCCUCUCCUCUCCCCCUCUUCCACCCUCCCCCCUCCCACCUCCUGGCCCACUCCCCUCCUUUCCCCCUGCCCCUUCCCCUCCUUCAUGGGUACCGGAAAUAGUCAUGAGGGACCAGAUUUGGUCACAACCAGAUCUGCAUGAGUGGUGGUGGGGCGUGGUGUAGGGGGAGGGUGGUAGGGGGUGGUGGAGGAAAAAAAGGGUUGGUGGUUUCUUUUAGUUAGUUUUUGAUGUUUUUGCUAGGUGUAUUAGGAGUGUUUUCUAGAUGUGUUAUUGUAAUAUUGUAUUUCAAAAACUAGUAUUUGAAAAAACUCCUAACCCAAACAGAGGCUAAAUUUCCUUGAUCUGCUGGUUAUAAACAAACUAAUGUGGUUCUAUCUUUAUUUUUGUGAAAGAUUUCGGAAUUUUUUGAAUCAAAGUUUUAAUCUGCUAGGAGGAUUGGACUUUCCAGAAUCCUUAGUAUUGUAUCAAUUGAUCAUUUAAACUUCCAAUUGUUAAGGUGCUGGCCCAGAGGGAAUCUAUUGUUUAGGUUUUGUAACCUUGUAGGAAUUGAAUUUUUUGAGUGAUUUUUUGGUGUGCAUCUGCUAUCUAGAACGAGGACUAUUUUCUGUUUACUGUAAAACUUUCAUUCAACAGUUGGCCAUUGUUAAUGGUCAACAUGAGUUCUUUAAGCAAUCUCCUACUUUUGUUGGAAUGGACCAGAAAGUAAGAGAUUUCAAUCGUCCUUCAUUCCUUGUUCCAACUUUUGGAUCAACAGGCAAGAGCAUAGUAUUAUGUUGUACCCUCUACAGAUACUAGACAUAUGAAAGAUGUUCAAUCAAGGGAUGAGUUUGGGUUUCCAUUUCUUGAAAAUUAGGACUGAAAAAAAUGUUGUGUUGCCCAUGGUCCUUGAAUGUUGUCUAUGAUGAAAUUAGAUCAUUCUCAAAGUGGUCCAAGAUGAUGUUUCCCGGAUUCACCUAAGUACGGGUAGCAAAGGCUCACUAAGCUUCGCUUCCCUUCCCCCCUUCCCUUAUUAAGUGGAAAAUAAAUAGUAUUUGGUAUUCUAUAAGCGACUACACGACCAAUAGCAAAGCCAAGCAAUUUGGAUCCAAAACCAUCCAAAUAAACCUAGGUUAAAUGGAUUUGGUUGAGUGAGAAAUUCUUAAUGACGUUAAAUGGUUCACCAUUUAAAUCCAUGUAAACUGGUGUUUCACCAUUUAAAUCCACGAAACUGGUGGAUUUAAAUGGGUUAUCCAUCUCAUCCAUCUAAAUCCAUUUAUCAAAAAAAAAAAAAAAAAAACUUGAAACUCUCUCCACGCAUACCACGCUAUACACACACAUUCACACACACUACAAGCACUGACCCGCAUACUAUACUUGCUUUGAGCUUUACCCAACUUGACCCGUUUCAAAACCCGAGAGAAUAUGGAUCUGUUGCAGAAUUCUCCCUCUGCUGCUCCUAUGUGAGUAUGAGUUUGAGUCAGUUUUGAACUCGUAACUCAAGAAUUGGUAGGGGCCAUUUUUGAGUCAACCAGAAUUAGACAUUGGCUUCACUUGAUGAUUGCUGAUGAUGAUGAUAAGUAUGAAGAUUUCCUGGCUGAAGCAUAUUAAAGUUUCCAAACCCGAGCGAAGUCAUUUGGAAGAAAAAGAGUCAAUUUGAAGUGGUUCAGGUUUUUUACCAGAUUGAAGAAUGCCCGAAAUCACUUGGACAAAGAAGAGGUCAAUUUGAAGUUGGUUGGGUUUUUGACUAGAUUGAGGAAUGCCCAAAUGACUACUAAUCAGUAGUUGAAUCGUUGGAUCCAAACUUAUUCGGGAAGAGUAAAUGGUUGCGAUGGAUAAUGGUUUUACAUUAGCCAUGUAAAUCCAAUCCAUUUGGAUCCAUUUUUUAAUUGGAUGUGAGUGGGUUGGAUCAAUUUGAUCCACCAUCCAUUUAGUUAAAACCAUUUAAUAACCAAAUAUCCAUUUUGCCACUUGUCCUGGUAAUUAAUAUGUCCAAUCAUGACAACUAUGACUUGGAAUGACUUGAGUCAUUGUUUCUUUCACAGCUUGGAGUUUUCUCAUCCCAGGUGUUCCAGGAGUCUCCACGUGACAAAAUUUGGAAAAGAAAACAUUGUAAUGUUAUUCAUCCAUCAUGACUUGAAGUUCUCAUAGCUGGUGGGUGAGGUUGACUAAUCAUAUCUUCUAUUGCAGCACCCAUAUAUGAAAUGGAGAAACACUGUAAUAUUGAAAUUGCGGCUCAAAUAUCACAUAUGUCAUCCACUCAAAAUGGUACAUGAGUUAACUAAAGCAUAUGAAUUCUUUCUUUAUUCCUUAUUUUCUGUCUACUAUUGGUCAUCAAAUGAUUCAACAAUUCGACUUUAUACUACAUUUUUUAAGAAAUAAUAAUGGUCAACAAUAAGGGUAGCUAGUGUAAGCGACUACUCUUUUUUUUCCCUUUUUUCUUUUCCCCCACUGCAUCUUUUGAUGUUCAAUCUGGUGUGUAAAUGUAAAGACAACCUUUUUGUGCUGAGCAGUAAUUGAUGCUACUAUUUAUACUGCAAAUGGUUCAAUUGUACCUCCAGCACAUAAAAACUGUAAUUCUAGUAGUUGAGUAUUAAGGGAGACAUAAUCCUUAAAUAUAUUGUACUGAAAUAUUAUAUUACCUUUGACAAAUCUGGUUGUUUAAUGUACAUCUACUGAGAGAAAAAUGGUUUGCCAGGAAAUUGAAUGAUAGGUUUAAUCUGAUAGAGACUUUGUGCAAGAUGUGUAUGGUUAUAUUUAAAUGCAUUUUCUGUUAACUCAGUAAUUUAAUCAUGCGAAUAGUUUUUUUGUGAUCUCUUAGAGAAUAUUUUGAUCUAUUUUACCCUUCAUCUUUUGCUAGAUGGAGACCAUGAUAGAUAUCAUCUUGAGGGACUGAUGGAAAGCCCUUCAGUGGAUGAUGAUGGAGAUUGCUUCUCACCCAUUGCUUUGAAUGCCACUUCUGUCAACAUUGAGGUUUACUACAACAAAGCAGUUAACUACACCUUGAUGGUCACCUUUGUAUCCUUCUAUCAAAAAUUGGUUCUUUAUUUGUUUAUCCUUUAUCUUGUUAUCAAAUUCUUUUGGUGGAUUCCUUAAGUUGUGGCACUAUAGGUUUCCUUCCUUCAAGUUCUUCUGUUAAUUCGACAAAUGGAACAUAGUAACACUCAAUCAGUAAGAUUCCUUGUCUUAAUCAUGCUCAUUUGUUGGUAAAAACAGUUUCAUUCUCUAUAGUUUUUCAUUUCUACUAAGUCUGGAAGUGAUAUCAGGUUUGCCAUUCCUUCCUUCUGAUAUUGCUUAAUGGAAGAAUUAACUGAUUUGGUAUCAUUCCUACAGGGAGCUGCCAAAGUGUCUAUACUGAUGAUAGGGCAGCAGGCUAUCAUGGACGCAUAUCUUUGUUUAUUGCAUCUGACAGCUGGAAUUCUAGUUGGUAAGUUUGAACUGGAUUGAUGUGUGUGUAUCUCUACAUUACUAAGUGAAAUAACCACAUUUUUUCUUUCCUAAUGAAGUACAUUAUCUUUACACUUUAACCUUGUGUAAUCUAUCUCUUGUUGUUUUUCUUCCCUUUGAAAUGGCCCAUGUAAAUCAGUUGCUGUGGCAAAGCUUCUUCCUAGUUUCAUAACAAAAUCCUGAUUUAUAUUGGCCAUGAAAAAACCAGUUACUCAUAAUUUAUAAGAAUAAAAUUUUUUUUAGGUAGAGCAUAGAUGAAUUCUAGUUUGGGAUCUUUAUCUUCAUAAUGGACUUUUUUCCCCCUCUUAUUCUUAUAACCUGCAUGCUUGGAGGCGUAUUUGUGGUAGUGAAGAUAAAUGUUUUUGGCAAAAUAUUUUGCUUCCUGCUUUUGAAUUCCCAGCAGCAGUGUUGGAAUACGGUUCGCUGAACCUCAGAUACUCGUAUUGUUCUUUUAACCUGCAUGCUUGGAGGCGUAUUUGUCGUAGUGAAGAGAAUUGUUCUUUGGCAAACUUUUGUGCUUCCUCGUUUUGAAUACCUAGUGGUUGUGGUGGAAUACAGUUAGCUGAAGCUCAGAGUCAGUGAAUAUGCAUUUUGUCUCUGUUCCUUAAUGACUGUUUCAAAUAAUUUUUUAAAAAAAUUUCUGUGGCCAAUUUUUACCAAUUCUAUUCUAUCUUUAUCCCCGCUGCAGUAUUCAGCUCUGGAGCUCUAUGUGUUUUAUCUAAAAUUUUUCCUCUGGUUCAUUCGGAUUAUUAAAUCGUGUUUCUCUGCCUGCAGAAUCUCUAUUCAAUGCUUUUGCAACUGCAGCUUUCUUCAAGUUUGUCGUGUUCUCAAUAUUUGAGAUGCGUUACCUUCUUGCCAUAUGGAAAGCAAGUAGGCCUAUGAAUAAUGGAGAGGGAUGGGAAGCAAUGAGACGUGAACUAUCAGUUCUUUACAGUCGUUUCUGUGAGUAUUCUCUUGUUGAAUGUUAGAAUGGUUCUAGAUACUAAUGUGGAUAUCAACCAAUGUAGAUCAAAAUAUAUAUUUCCUUUAGUGGAGAUUUGUGUACAUACACAUGUUUUUUGUUAAGGUGAGAUCUUCCAAUUAAGACAACUACUGUUUCCAUAGUAAUUAGUACAAAAAACAGAUUAGAAGAUAAAGAGAAACACUGCCUACUAAUGAUAAUAGAGAAAUGACCUAGGUAUGAAGAUUCAGAAUAUUUGGGAACAAUACUUCCAAUGCAUCAUCUAACCAACCUGAUAUAAGAAGUAGCAUUACAAGAAAGUGGAAAUUGGCAAUAAUGUUGCAAACAAGGCUGCAUGUCAUGUCGGUUACAUGGAUACUUUUCCAUGCAUGCUGGCAUUCUAUUGGGCCUUAAGUAGUUAAUAGAAAAUCAGAUGCAGUCACUGCAUGACACUUGUUGAAAACACAUGCUGCAGUUACAAGAUGCCUACUGCAAACUGUGACAAUGAAGAAAAAGUGAGAAUACAACUCCUUGGUUAGUCAAACACAUUAUCAAAUCUUUUGUUGAUGAAUAACAAGUGUUUUGUAUUUAAUUGGAAGAAAAGACAGGGAAUAAGCUAAUGCAAAGAUAGUUUGUAAAGUAUGUUUGUUCGUAGAAUAUCUAGGUGUGAAUGUGAGAUUAGUGCACUCAAUCUCUUCUAUGUAAGUAUUCUGCAAAGACCCAAAUGUACUUCCCUGCUAAUCAUUUUAUAAAAUAUCUGCAAAGUAUGUGAGAAAAGAAUGUCUAGUAGGCAUAUAGAUGAAAACAUGAUCAUAUGUACCCUCAUAUUGUCCUUGGCAUAUUUUUAUGCUACUUUCAGAAAAAGUACGUCUUCCUGUAUCUAUGCCAUUUAUCUGUCCUUUUGUUCUACAAAGAAAACUAAAUACUGAUUGUAUAGCUUUCUCUCCCUCUAUUUACUCCAAAUGUUUUAGCAAGCUGCAUACAUGUCUUUGCAGCUUGUUUUCCUUGCAUUGAAUGUUUUAGCCACUCUAACUUGUAAAUUAGUAUGGUAAAUGGAAUAAUUGUUGGAAAAUGUUUCUUGUUCUUGUAAAGGUGAAAGACUAGAAUCUUACUAGUUGUGCCCCAAUCUAGUAGACUGUCUGACCUACUGUAAUGGUGUUUUGUUAUAAUUUUGAACCCUUUUAAAUAUAGUAUGAUUCUCUCUCUCUCUCUAAAGCUUAAAGUAUCCACCUGCACUUGUAUAUACAUCGAUGGUGCUCUUGGAUAACUUUCAUUUCUCUUUUGAAUAUCACUUAUUCAGCUUGCCUUUUAGCAGAGUUACUAAAAGAAAUAUGUAUGGUAUAUGCAUGUAGAUUUUUGUCAAUAACCUUUAAAUCUAUUGCAGAUGGAAUCCUUUUGGGUGGGAUUUUGAUCACGUAUGAGUUCCACAAGUUUUUGCGGCUUAUUCUUUUGCUUACGCACUCAUUUUGGAUACCUCAAAUUGUCACUAAUGUGGUUCGAGACUCGAGAAAACCACUGCAUCCUCAUUAUAUCAUAGGAAUGACUGUAACUCGGUUAGCAAUUCCAUUGUACGUCUUUGGCUGCCCUCACAACUUCAUGCGAAUAGCAUCUGACAAGAACUGGUGCAUCUGUUUGGGUAUUUUUAUGGGCUUCCAGGCUUCAAUUCUUCUUCUACAACAUUACCUUGGUUCACGGUGGUUUAUUCCUCGACAGGUCUAACACUUUUUAUGAUAUUUAUAUAAUCAUAUCCCUGCUAUUUUUUGUUCAUAACCAAAAAAGACACAAAUUUGCUGCUGCAUGUUGCCCCACCUUUUCUCAUCCCUAUUUUCUGCAUUGAUUUUUUCAAACAAAAUACUGCUCCUCUAUGAACUGUGCAGCACAAAAUCUACAUCUCUCAAAACUGACCUCUGAGAGUGACAGCAUGUACAAAAUUUUUCCACCAUGCCUCUCUGGCUUCAACAAUGUUGUCAAGUGGUUUGCAUACCUAUUGUCAAAUUAGCUAUGUGUUUUACCUUACUAAAUCUAGGGUUUUUGCUAUCUUAGCCACUGUAAUUUUUGGAUCAAUUUUACAGUUUGUAUGAGUUUCAAGCAGGAUUAAUCAUAUCAGUUUUACUUGUAACAAUUUAUAGCGUAACAGCCCAAUGCUUGUAUUUGGAAGCUCCUAUACAAUUAUUUCUUAUAAAAUAUGGCAAAAGAACAUUAUGUUAUUUUCUUGUCUUCAAUUCAUGUGCUGAUAGUAUUUUUUGUUCAAGUCAAAGUACCUAAGUCAUGUCAUUUAUAAUUACUUGCAUUGUCUUGUCGCUGUCUACCUGGUAAAUUUGAUAAAUUGUGAAGAAGAAUAUGGAUUCGAUAUCCUGAGUGUUUCUUCUCACUAAUGCUACAUGAAAGAUAGAUUCACAUGUUUGUGAAUAACUAUAUAUUUUUAUUUCUCUCAGUUUUAUGGAUUGUUGAAGGAUUGAGCUUGCAUAUCUUAGAGAGAGUGCCUAAUGUGGUAUAAAAAGAGAAUCUCUUGAAUCAUCUUUUUUUAAGUCUCUUAAAAUCAUCAGUGGAGUAGUUUUGGUUUAGCCAUACUAGUGUGUGAUGAUGGAUAUAUAAGAGAAAUGACAUAUGUUAUUGUUUAAAAAAUUGAUUAGCAGCUAUUUUGUUGUACUUUAUUGAGCAGUUAAAAGUGUUGCUUUUUCAUUAUGCAUGUGAUAGUGUGAUUGGAGCUUUGCAUUUCUGUCUUAAACAGCCUUCAUCUGAAUUGUGCAGAUUUUACCCGAGAAAUACAGCUAUUAUAGAAGGUUUGAUCAGGAUCCAAACCAUGCUACAGACUGUGUCAUUUGUAUGACUUCAAUCGACCUUACUCAACGCUCUAAUGAUUGCAUGGUAUUAAAUCAAAUGGUUAGCACUUUAAUUGCUUCACAGGAUGACAUCUUUUAAAAGUAUAUGUUUUGAUUGAAUAUUUUGUAAUCUAGGUUACACCGUGCGAUCAUUUCUUUCAUUCGGGCUGUUUACAAAGAUGGAUGGACAUAAAAAUGGAGUGUCCAACCUGCAGACGUCCUCUUCCACCAGCUUGAGGAGAUUGUAUGACCUUUCCAUCCAUUUUUUCAGGGACCAACUGACAUUGCUCAACCUGCUAACUGGGGUAAAUGGCUUCUUACAGGCUCUCAAUUGCUGUUUAACUUGCUAACUUGCUGGGUCAGUUCUUUUUUUCCACCUUCCAAUUUUAAUGUAAUGUCAGAUCCUUCAAGUAUAUAAAUCUUGCUGGGAAGCAAAGUAACAGUUAACGUCGGGACAUUUUCAAAUAGUUUUAUAAUAUGGAUUAUGCAUAUUUUGCAGUAGAAUAUACUUUCUUUUCCCCGAAAUCCAACUUAGCUGGUAGGGAUAUUAGCUAGGUGACUAUGAGCUCCCUGGUUCGACUUUCAAGCCCUCCCUUUUCCCAUUUCCCCCUUGAUAAUGUUUGAAGUCUCUCAUUGAACCAAAAGAAUAUACUUUCUCAAAUAUCUGUAUCUGCAAAUUUUUUUUGGCAUUUCAAAAGGGCUAAACUUGCAUCUAUACACGUUUAAGUUUUUUAACAUGUCUCACAUGCUUAAUUUGCCAAAUAAAUUUUGUCAAUGUCCUGAAGUUUUUGUUUUCUUAUAGAAGGCUGAUGCUUUCUCCUUUACACUUUGAGAGCUCAUUGCAGAACAUGUAAUACCUAAAAUCUCUCUAUAACAACUUUACUAGCCCCAUACUAAAAUCUUGCAUUAAGCUUUUCUUCUUUUACUUUUUGUUUCUCUAAAAAGGGAAAAACCCCAAUAAGCUUUAACAACAAUAUAUUAUCUCAGGUUGGAGGAAUGGACCAGAUUCGGCUUAUUACAUCUUUGGAAAAAGGGCGAGAACUAUGUGUAGUUAUGGAUGAACGUGCUGACCUGCAAAGUUGUAUUGUGAUGUACAUUAUAGGAGUGUAACAUUUUACUGAAAAUUGAUGAUUCUUCUAAAUUUUUUUUUCCAGCGUUGUGUCAUUUUCCCCACCCAAGUUUCAUAGGUAUUCGAGACCUUAGGUGAUCCCUCUAUGGGGAAGAAAAAAAAAAGGGUACAGUUCUAAGCUUACAAUUCAAGGUAGGUGUAUUGGUGUAUAUUCAGUUACAGGAUUGAUAUGAGAGUAAUGGACCAAGUCAUUUUUCACCGAAAUCUUUCCAAAAAAAAAAAAAAAAUCAGACUGCUGUCAUAUCCACUGCUCCCAUUGGUUCCACCUCUGCCAUCACGGCCGGCACUGCCACUCCCGAUGUUUGUUUCCACCAGCACUGUUGCAUUAACGAGCCUAUUUCUCUUACCUCAAAGCUUAUGAUGGCUUUUUUAGUUGUAAUAUGAUGAAACCAUGGACUAAGGCAAUGAGGGUGCAAGGUGAAGCAGAGCUGAAGGUAGGGAAACAGAUGCGCAGAUAGGCUAGCAGAGCAAGUCUUGCACAGGGCCACCAGCGGGAAAUGUCAAGAGUUGCAGGAUCCACCGGCGGUAUUGAGGAAUCUGCUUGCAGAUGACAUUGUUGGAGUGGCAACCCCACGUCUAGUCUCUUGUUAACGUGCUGUAGCCCUCCCUAGGAACCACCACCCCCCCCCCCGGGGCCCCAACCAAAAAAAAGAGGAGGAAACCAUGGAUCAGCGUUUAGCUCAUCGACAAGAAUGUUGUUGAAGUGACAUUGAAAGCCAUUGAAAUUAAAUGAAUUCGAGACUUGGUAGUGUCACCCCGGAAAGGGUCCAAUGGUGCACGACUCCAGAGUAGAUGGGUUCAAUGCAAUCAUCGAACAUUAGGAGAUUACAUUGAAAAAAAAUUAAAUAAGUUGAGCCAGAUGAACAAAUGAAAUAGCAUUAUGGCAGUGGAUUUCUUGAAAAUCCAGUUCAUAUUCAAAGCCCAAAGGUUUGAUUCCUCGAUUCAAAUUGAAUUGCCAAGAAGUCGAUUUCACUAUUGUAGGAUAAUAAUAACUAUACUUCGUUAAUUUUGAAUAAAUUAACAAUACUUCUGCAAUAUCCUGCAGUAUCUGCAGGAAUGAGCAAACCUAACAGCCAAUGCUGCAUGCGCAAUUUGUUCAAUUCAUCUUAAAAUGACCUCUUCACCAAGAGUUGAAAACAGGUUGGCAAAAAGGCAGCCUAUCAAGAUACAUUUUGUCUCGUAAUGGGAAUGUGUGUGUUGCAGUAUCUAUUUGCUAGGGAUCUCCUAACUGGCAACUAAUAUACGGGUUUAUCAGGAUGCAUUCUCAAAGUUGGUAAAUGUGUAUCUUUCAUGAACUUGUUAACCAUUAAAAGUAUGAUUUAAACACAGUCGAUCAGGACUUGAUGAAAAAAACUACUGUGAGAAAUUAACACGGAUUAGAUCUGUGGUCAUUUGGUAGAGUGUUAUAUGAGUUCUUGGUUAGUAAUAAGCACCAGCUUUGAAAACAUGUUAAAAGGAAAGGGUGGCUUCAGAUGUUUGAUGUGACAAAUGAGCUAAUAAUUUGAAACCUCGGGUAUCAACUAUCAAUCAACAUUAACAUCUACUCAUACAAACGUUGCCAUGGACAAAUCAAAAGUUUCAAGACGAGAGCAAAUUUACAAGACAAACUUCAAUCAAAUCAUUAACAGGGCCCCAGCAAAACCAACAUGGAUUUUGUUAUUUUGCUCACUGGUUGAGAUGACUAUAGUUGCUGCUGAAGUUAGCCACUGGGAGGCGAAGGCAGUGGUGUUGGGGCAGGAGGAGUACCAGAACCACCACAGUGAUAGUCAAAGCAUUCCACAGGAUGCUCAUACACUGCAGUGCAUUCCUUCUUGGUCCUCUGAAGAGGCUUUUCCAGCAAACAGUUUCGACGGUCAUCAAACGCAAUGCCUCUGGAUGUCAAGUUCAUGCAAAUGCCUUCCUCCUCACAGAAGAAGUUAUAAGAAUAUGUGAAAUUGGACAAAUUAGGCAAUACACAAACUCCAGCGGGCACGUCUCCAGUAAACAUGUUGUGAGCUAAAUUGAGGAGCUCCAAGUGAGCUAAUCCUGCAAGGCUGUAAGGUAUUGGACCAACUACUCUGUUGGAGCUCACGUCUAGGACCCUAAGUUUGUAUAGAUAUCCAACCUCAGGUGGCAGGCACCCUGUUAAGCUAGUAUUGAUCAGGAGCAAUUCCUCUAAAGUGUUUGCAAAGUUGGCUAUGCUUGGAGGAAGGCAGCCUCCAAAUUUGUUAUUCGCAAACACCACAACAGAUGCUGAACUCAAGCCUAAAUUUGGUGGUAUGACAGAAGUAAAGAGAUUGUUGUUGAGAAAAACUGCAUCCAGUUUUUUGGCAAAGAGUUGAGCAGGUAACGGCCCUUCAAACUCAUUAAAGCGAAUAUCAAGAAACUUCAGCGUCGGAAGAGAAAGUACAACAGAAGGGAAAGGGCCUACAAAUCUGUUGUUACUGAGGUCAAGCUCAAAGAGUAGAGUAAGGUUUGCUAAUGAUUGAGGGAGGAUGCCACAGAACCGGUUGCUAUUGAGAUGAAUCAAUGCAAGGUCUGAGAGAAGGCCUAGUUCCUCAGGCAGAAAACCAGCGAUAUCAGCAAAGUUGAGGUCAAUGCCAGCAACAACUUGUAUUUUGGUAUUGUCUGGAUAAGGGGCACAGUAGACUCCUGUGUAAUUGCAUACUGAAGGGCCAAUCCAGUUUGAAGUGAAGUUUUUAGGGUCAGAAUAAAUUACUUUCUUCCAAGCUUGGAGAGCCACAUACGCUUGUUGCAAUCUGGGAUUUAUUGUGGCUUUAUUCGUGGGGUGAUGUCUGUAGUGUUGGCGGUGGCGGGUGGAUGAGUAACCAUGUUUAGCAAAGCUGUUGAAGGAUGAAAGGAUCAGCACUAAGAGAACCAUGGCAUGGGCUAGAAUGAAGGCAAAUGAAGCCAUUGCUGUAGCAAGGUUAGAUCCUAAUUGCUGUAGAAAGGCCUCUCAAUUCAUUAAGGUUGCUACUGCUCUGGGGAUUCCCUGAGUUUUAUACAGACAAGAUCCACAACAGCACAUGUUACAACCACCAAAUACAGCGACCUUUAACUGUCACAACUGAUAGCCAAGAUGAUCAUUAUGCCUUCCGAGGUUUCCAGGUCUAUGUUGGAUGGCCUGUGCAUAAUUUAUCUAGUACUAUAAUUUGAUGCCUUGACAUGAACUCACCUGCUGCUUUCAACUGUGAUAGGCAUAUGCAUUCUCUGUUUGAUGUGGUCACCAGUAUCUUCAUUUUUUCCUAAUGCACUAUCUGCACAAGAUUGGGCAGAAGAAAAUAUGCAUGAUAUGGACUUUCCUCCUUCCAUGUAAAUAACCUGUUUUCUGAAGUGGAAGUGGAGAAAGACAGCUUCAGCCUCCAGAGAGAGACAGAAGGGAAGUGAAAGGAACAAAUGUUUUCUUCAGUUGGAAGGGAUAAGCAUGUUGUCUCUGCGAGGUUUUCCAAUUGUCAACCCUGGGGGGUAAACUUCAGCAUCUAGCUAAAUAAGUCCUGGUCAAAACCGCAUUUGAACACAAAGAAGAAUGGUGGAGAUUUUGUACAGACCACAGAAAAUAGCAAUCCAACUGCUCUUCUAGAUAGGAAACCAGGGUCUGAACAAAUCAUCCCCUCUGUUGAAGAAUCAUUUUACUAAUCACUGUUGCUGGAUGGAUCUAAUACCAUUAAACAUGAAAUAUAUAUAAUGCCAAUCUUAAAACCUAGUAUUCUUAACUGAUGCUUGAUACAUAAAACGCCAACCAUUCUAUGAGUCAGUUCAAUAGUGAUGAGGAAUUCUAUGAUUGCUACCAAAAGGUCAGAGAUGAUGUCAUGUUGGAGUUUCUUUACCAAAGCCUAAGGUGAACAAUCAUAGUCAUUCGUAAGGACUUUUUUUAAGUUUUGGGUCGGACACAGGUGCAAUUGGGUUCACUUGGUGGAGCUUUACCAUGUUUCCUGAUGAAAAUUGUGGGGCAAGAAAAGAAGAGACUGAAAAACAAGAAAACUAGCUCAUAAUAGAGAACCUUUGAUGUAAUUGCUGGACUAUAACCUUGAUGAGUGCAGAACUCGAGAUACAGAAAUAACGGGAAUUAAAUCACAAGCAAAAAAUUCAAAAAAAAAAAAAAAAGUAGUAGUCCUUGACCUGAAAAGGAUGCCAGAGAGAGAGUGUUCCAAGUAUCUUUCAGAAGAGAAUCUUACCCCUCAGAAAACUCGGAUUACAUAAUAGACAGGUUCCAAGUAUUUCUUUUCAGAAGAGAAAACUUGGAUUACAUAAUAGACAGAGUGUUCCAGGUAUUUUUCAGAAGAGGAUCUUACCCCGCAGAAAACUUGGAUUACAUAAAUUUUACUUGUUCAGAUCAAUACAGUAACAAAAAUGGACCCGUCCCUUCCGGGACAUCAUCAGGUAAGAAAUGGACCAAAGAUCCAAAAUUACAUACCUUCUGCUUUAUGUCAUUUUUCCUUUCCCCCCUAGCACAAGAUUAUCUUUUGUCUUCCCUUCAGUUUUUGACCACAUAGAUAUUAGUUUCUUCCGCAUCAGCACUUAAAAUAAAAAGAAAAAGGACACUACAGGCAACAGGAGAAUAGACAUAACACUUACAAAACACAGGUGGUGUCAAAUUCUCAAGAACGGCAUGAGGUAAAACAGUUUCUUCUUCUCAAAAGAACACUCUCAGAAGAACACUAAACAACACGCGGGCAUAAAACCCAAGUUGCACAAGCUUCAAAUAAAAGUUUUGAAACUUCCAAUAGGUAUCACUACCAUAUAUUACACCAUCCCGGAGUACUAAAUACUGCUAAUGACAAGUAAACUAUUGUUCUCCAGAAUUAUUUAAAGCACAAAUAGGUGGACCACCUAGACAAUCUUCAGACUCAUCUUCGUCAUCAUCAUCACCAUCACACCACACUCAAAUUAACCACCAC